rnacentral:lncRNA from 1 species
AUUCUUCCUCUUCUUCUUUGUUUUGCAAAGGCACAAAACCUCGAAAAAUAAUACUAAAUUACCACCAGGCCCCCGGGGCCUUCCCUUCAUCGGUAACUUACAUCAGUUUGAUGUCUCAAAGCCUCAUGUGUCAUUUUGGGAACUAUCGAAAAAAUAUGGCCCCCUCAUGUCCUUGCGUCUUGGUUUUGUGCCGUCCUUAGUAGUUUCCUCAGCAAAAAUGGCUAAAGAGAUAUUGAAAACCCAUGACCUUCAAUUUUGUAGCAGGCCAGCCUUGGUAGGGCAACAAAAGUUAUCUUACAAUGGUCUUGAUUUGGCUUUUUCACCCUAUGAUGAAUAUUGGAGAGAGAUUAGAAAAAUUUGUGUCAUUCAUCUCUUAAACUCUAAUAAGGUACAAAAUUUUCGACCCAUUAGAGAAGAUGAAGUUUCAAGAAUGAUUGAAAAGAUUUCAAAAUCAGUUGCUGCUUCUAAGCUCGUAAACUUAAGUGAGGUAAUGAUGUCUCUUACUAGCACUAUUAUUUGUAGAAUUGGUUUUGGCAAGAGGUACGAUGAAGAUGAAGCAACAAGUGCAAGAAGUAGAUUCCAAGCCUUGCUUAAUGAAACUCAAGCCUUGUUUGUAAGCUUUUUUGUUACAGAUUAUUUUCCUUUCAUGGGCUGGAUUGAUAAGUUCACAGGAAAGAUGCAACGUCUGCAAAAUAACUUCCAAGAACUUGAUAGAUUCUACCAGGAACUCAUCGACGAGCAUUUGGAUCCAAACAGAACAAAAUCAAAAUUGCCGCAACAGGAGGAUAUAAUUGAUGUUUUACUUCAAAUAAGAAAAGAUCGUGGAUUUAAAGUUGACCUGACUUUGGAUAACAUCAAAGCAGUGCUCAUGGUGGAUAAUUUUAUAAAUAGUUAUAUGUAGACUCGUGCUUAGGCGCAGACUCAAAAUUUUGUGCAGAUGCCCAAUUUUACAGUGUUGUAAAACGUUUUAUAAUGCUGUAAAGUGCUCUUUGACGUCUCCGCCUGAGCAUGAUUAAUUUAAUAUAAUUUUAUUCGCUUUAACUAAUUUAAUAUGUAUAUUGUUUGCUUUGCAGAACGUAUUCGUUGCUGGAACAGACACAAGUGCAGCAACUGUGGUUUGGGCCAUGACCUAUCUAACGAAGAAUCCUAGAGCAAUGAAAAAAGUUCAACUGGAAAUUAGAUCGUUGAUUGGGGGCAACAAAGGCUUUGUAAAUGAAGAUGAUGUUCAAGAACUACAUUAUCUUAAAGCCGUAGUGAAGGAGACAAUGAGAUUGCAACCUACAGUGCCGUUACUACUUCCAAGAGAAGCAAUUCAAAAGUGCAUAGUAGAAGGGUAUGAAAUACCAGCUAAAACACGUGUUUUUGUAAAUGCAUGGGCGAUAGGGAGAGAUCCUGAAGCUUGGCAGAAUCCUGAGGAAUUUUAUCCGGAGAGAUUUGUUGAUAGUUGUAUUGACUUUAAAGGGCAAAACUUUGAGUUAAUACCGUUUGGUGCUGGCAGAAGAAUUUGUCCUGGGUUGAAUAUGGGAAUUGUAACUGUGGAGCUUGCACUUGCUAAUCUUCUUUACAAAUUUGAUUGGGAAAUGCCGCCUGGAUUGAAGAGCCAUGACUUUGAUGUUCUGCCCGGACUUGCCAUGCAUAAGAAGAACGUUCUUUCUCUUCGGGCUAAGUAUCAUGUUGAGUAGGUAAAUUAAGGCACCUCCAUCAAUAAGAAGGUAAAUUAAGGCACCUCCAUUAAUAAGGGUUUGAUCUAGCUAAAGGAAAUAUAUGUUAUGCGUCCUCAAUUGUGCUUCUCAAUGUUUUCUUUCUUUCUUCUUAUGUAUAAUGGAUGUUUACGCGAAUGGUUUUUAGUAAGUAAUUUUCUUUUAGUUCAAAAUUUUGGGAGGUAAGGGCUAGAAGAUAAUAGGGACUCUGCCCACUCUCUUAUACCUUUAAAAAAAUGAUAUGAAUGUGAGUAUCAAUUUAUCACAUUUAUUUUGUCUUACAUUUUUCUCUCUCCAAUUUCAAAUUAUAAAUGUAUAUAUAAAUACACGAAACGACCAAUCAAUAUUAUUUACUUGAUAUAACUAAUAAGUAAAUUCAUGGCUUUUUCUAUCACCCCUUUUUUUGUUAGGAGUAUCAGUAAAAUCAGCUCUGUAAUGCUCUACAUCUUUACCGUGAAAGCUGCAUUUUUAUGGAAUCAGCUUACAGUUAUGUACUAACCAAAAAAAAAGAAAAAGAAUAUUACAUCAAUUCUUCAUUGAGAUUUGAGACAUUUUCUUCCUCCAGAAAGUAUACAAGUUAAAAAAACUACACAUCAUUGUGAUUUCAUAACAGCAUCAUCCAUCACUUUCCUAUGAGCUUUUUAUGAGGCCGGAGGCUAAAGCACAAUCAGUUGAGCUGUUAUUGCAUUUCCCACAGCAAGACUGUGGCAAAUCAGUUGACUUUUGACGUUAAAUGGUGGUUUCGGCUUGCAGUCACUUGUGUUUGUUCAAUUUCAAUAAAGGAAAUUUCAUUUUUGUUAAAAUCCAUGAAUAUUAAUUACUACCUUGUUCGCUGUUCAGUAAAACUAAAACAACACCAAAACUUAAAUAUUUUCGCUAUAUCACAAACUUAAAUAUUUUUUUUUUCCCCCUAUACAUCCCUAGUAAGGUUGACAGAAAAAAACCAAAUUUCAAUCGGUAUUGGGAUCCCCUCCCGAAUGAUAGGGGAUUUGGCACUAAUUUUUAAAAUCGAUUCGAUACUAAUUUUAACAAACACUUGCUUUAAACCAACUUAUUCUUCUACCACAUAAUUUACUUAACUUUCAUUACAUGAAAAAUAGUCAUUUUUUUUACCUAACUUGUUCGACAAUAGUUAAAUAUGUUGGUGAGAGGGCAGUUUUCAAUUGUAAAAAUCAAGACAUCGAGAAAAACUAAAAUGGCUAUUUGGUUUUUCUAAUGAAAAACUAAAACAACUAUAUGGUUUAGCGUGAAAUUUUAGCUUCAUUGGUAUUUAUGACGAUUGUAACUAACCAUUAAAAAUGCAUAAUUAUUUUCUACCUGUAGUGAUUUAGGUGCUGUAGAAUUCGAUUAGCAACCUAAGCACUGCCCAAGAUCACAAACCAGAUCCACUAGAUGCUAAGAACCCAAACAAUCAAGCUUUAAGUUUCAACAAAACCUUUAACGAAAAUGGCUUAAUCAGAACACACUCAGAACAAGAAUUAGAAACCAAUCACACCCAAAAGAAAGAGAAAUAUUUACGUGGUUCGAUUGUGCAAAGAAGCACAAUCUACAUCCACGGGAGAAGCCCACAGAGCAAGCUUUAUUGAUGAUUCAAGUAAUCUUUACAGAGCAAUACAAGAGCUAACUACUAGGAUCAAGACGAAGCUUUCUCUCUAUCUUAACUCUCUCUAUCACGCUCUCAGAUCAUCCAUGAAACUGCUUCUUUAACCAGCUUAUAUAGCAGCUGAUAAAGAACCCAGAAGUUGCAGAUUUCCGCCACCUGGACUAACAGCUUCUAACUGAUUUGAUUCUCCACCCCCCGUGCACUUCACAUGUUUCACUUAAGCCUUUUGCCGAAACGUCUCCAGCUCCUGCCGUUUUGAACUUAAGUGAAUCACAUGCCAUGCUCGUGACUCCUGAGUAUAUUAAACAUAUUCCAAACGUUGUCGUUUAACAUGCUCAAGUUUUGGAUUCAACAUUUUAGUCCACACUACCGUUUCAAAAACAUAGUCGAAAAUAAAAUAAUAUUUUCAAUUAUUGUAAUUUUUAAUCAAAAAUAGGAAAAUAUUUUUAAACGUAACUAGGAGUUGGUUGAAAAAACCAUUAAAAAGAUAUAAAAUUUUAACAGACAACAUGGGCACCAAUAAUGUUUUUCACUACUAUAACUUGCAAGGUUGGUCAAAGCAAAAGCUGUAAGGGUAAGUAAAUAUAAUAUAAAAUUAUAUAUCAUCUAAAAGAAAAGUAAUUGUACGUUUUUUUUUCUUAGUUUACUAUUUUUUUUAUCAAACAUGAACUAGAUAAUUAAAUAAUUAAUUAAUUAAUGUAUUUUUUUUAUAGAAUUAAUUAAUGUACUUAAUUGAAAAUAAAAUUAACUUCUACGAUGCAAACAGAAUUUGAGCCCUCAACUGAAAAGAUAAAAUAUGAAAGUGCCUACCACUGGAGCAAGAAAUAAUUUUCAGUAAAUUAUAAAUUAAAUAAUUAUGAAAGGAUUGAUUUUUUCUAAAGGUUUUACUAGGUGCAACAAUGGAAUUGAAUUACCUUAUUUAACUUAGAAGAUAUUGAUUGAUUACAGCAUAGAUAUAAUGUAUGAUAUCUUAAAUUAAACAUCAAUUAACUUCGAAAUUAUAUUGUAGUUCAAAUAAACUCGAUAAUAUUUAUGAUCACAUUCUAUCUUAUACACAAACUUGAAACUUAUGUUAUUGAUUAAGUCUCAACUAUUUUAAUCAUUAUCAUUGAAUCAAUUUAGAAAUUGAUUAUCGAACUAGCUGGUAUUUUAUAGUUAAGUAUUUAAAGAAAUAAUGUCUAUGAUUGAUCAUAAUUAUUGUUGAAUCAAUUUGGAGACUAGCUAAUUUUCAAAUUAAUGUAAUUAUCUAGUGGUCAAUUUCAAUAAAUAGAGUCUAAUAGUUUUCAUAGUUGUAUUAUACUCAUAAUUGUGGAACAUGGAACGUAUACUUCAUACUUAAAACUUAUUGCAUAUAUUAAAAAAAAUAGAUGAUUAGUAAUUAACAUUUAAUUAUAGUUGAAAUAUUAAUUAUUAAAUUAGUCUAAUUGUCUAAGAACAGUCAUACAAUUAAUUUCAAUAGAUAACAAGAACUAUUGCAAUAAUUUUUUUAUAUUUUAAAACAUAUCUCAACUAUGAAUUAUUAAAACUAAUAUAGCUUCAUAGUUUUUAGGCCAAUAUCUAUUUUCAUCUUUUGUUUAUCUUAUUAAUUUAAAUUUAAAAUCUAUGUUAAAUAAUAAAGAUGUUCUAUCAAUCAAUUUAGGCUAUAGAUUAAUUAAACAAUCUAGUAAUCACAUAAUAGGUAUUACAUAUAAUUGUUCAAUUAUAAUAAACUUUAAAUUUGCAUUAAUGAGAUAAGAAGUUUUGUUUUGCAAUUAAUCGAAUCGUAUGCUAAUAAUUUUCAAUAUUUAUUAUUAUUUCAAUAUUUAUUAGUAUGAAAUAACUAACUUAGGAUAAAUAAAUUGAUUGAUUGAUUUUUUCUUAAAUUUUAAUAUCUUGUAUUAUCUCUAUUAACUAUUUGGUCCACUGCCACCUAACUAAAGUUUUUAGUGCAAGUGUAUGUGUACCUAUUCUCCACUCUCUCUAACAAAUAUCUCAAUUAGCCACCGAAUCAAAUCUAAUAAUAGAAUAAAUAAAUAAAAGCCACCGAUAUUAAGCGCAACGGAUGAAUUCAUCUCCUCUUCUUUUGUAUAUUCUCUCCAAAGCUUUCAACUCUAUUUUGGGGUCAUUUUCUUAAUUUUUUUUAAUUAAACUAUAUAGAAACUGGGGAGAUGUUUUCAGAUAUUUAUUAAUUUUUAUCCUUCACCUUUAAUUUCUUAAGUUUGACAUCAGUUAUUGUUGGCCUCACUCUCACAUGGUUGGUUUGAAGCUUUUCUAUCAUGUAGUUCGGUGAAAAUUAUUUGAUUAAUCGUGACUUGCAGGUAAGAAUUAUAUUAUUAUUUUGUGUUAUGUUUUUAAUUUAUUAGAUUUUAAUUCACAAUUUAUUUGAUAACAAGUGAAAGAGAUGUUAAUUAGGAUAGAUUCAUUUUCUUGUUUAGUAUAUAGGAUUUUCUACUUUAAUUUAAUUGUAUCUUAAUAUUUUUUUUAUUGUUAUCAAGGGAAUUAAGAGCCUAGGAAGAAAAAAUUAUGAUAUUCAACUUUCAUAAGGAUUCAGUUGCUCAAUCCACAUUGAUUCUAUCUUUUAUCAACAGCAAAAUAUCAUUGCAAGAGUGCCAUGUAGCCUUUGGUGUAUUUUAUUUUAUUUAAAUAUUUGUCAUGGAUUCAAUGAUUAAUACGUAUUUAUUUUAUCUUUUAGUAGCAUUAAGUUAUUGUAAUAGCAUCAUGUAGCUUUAAGUCAUUGUAAUGGUGUCUUGUAGCACUUGUACUUUGUUUGAGUUGCACAUGUAUUUGUUGAAAUUAUUUAUAAAAGGAUAUUUGUCGAUUGAUUCAUUGAUUUUUUUCUCCUGAGGCAAUUAAUAAAACCAUUUUCAGCCAUAUAUAUUUGUCUACUAAUUCAUCAUUUUUUUUCCUAGAGGCGAUUAAUAAAAUGAUUAUUUUAACGAUGAAGUAGAAUCAAAUGAAUUUCAAUAAUCAUCUUCUUGGAAAUACUAAGAUUCAAUUAGAACUAAUAUUUAUUCGACUAUAAUUUAUUUUUUCCAACUGUUUUUACCCCUAAAAAAUAGUGUAUUUUUAAUGGUAAUUAGUUAGUUGAAAUUGAUAUUGCAAAUACAACUGCUAUCGAAAAUACUCUUUUUUACUACUUAAGGUGGUCAUAAAUAUCAGUCAUUAGUCACAUGUCCAUAUUAAUUUUCAAUCUAUAUUUAUGUAUUUAUGAUUGUCAAUUUCGCACCAAAUAAGCAUAUUUACGGCGGCCAAUCGGUAAAAGUGUGUUUCUAACCUGGGUAUUAGCGAUUACCAGCGACUGAUUAAGGCCAUUGGAAAAACAUAUUUUCAACAGUAUAGCACUUGUUUCAACUGCAUUCAGCAGUUAUAAAAAGUUAUUUUUCUUGUAGUAUAUUUAUACCGCACAUUUUGACUACCACUAAUUUAAGUUGCCUGAUGAACAUAUUUACCACACAUAAAAACUAAAAUAUCUGAGAUAUUUCUUUAGAUAUUUCUAUAGAUAUUUUAACAUUUUAGAUUACAAUAUUUUUCAACACUUGAUUUAAUCACCAAUCGUUGACUAUGAUGACGACAAAAAAUCUAUUUCAUUGUGCUAACCUCACAAGUGAAAAGGACUCCACAAGAGUACAAAACAGAGCCUUGAUCUAAUAAUAUUACCGAAUAUAGCAUUUUGUUUCCUUAUAAAUGGAGAGAGGUUCUGUCUUUGCACUGCAUAACAGAUAUUAAUGGCUUUACUUAUCGUCAUCAACUUCCUUAUGUGUCUCUCAAUCUUCGUCAUCUUCUUUGUUUUGACAUCAAUUUUGUUGGCCUCACCCUUGGCUGAAAGCUUUUUCUGUCAUGUAGAACGGUGAAAAUUAUUUGAUUAAUUGUGGCUCGUAGGUAAGAAUAAUUAUUGUUUUUUGUGUUCAUGUUUUUAAUUUAUUGGAUUUUAAUUCACAAUUUAUUUUAUAACAACUGAAAGAGAUUUUAUUUAGGAUAGAUUCAUUUUCUUGUUUAGUAUAUAGGAAUUUCUACUUUAAUUUAAUUGUAUCGUAAUUUUUUUUUUAUAUAUAUUGUUAUGCGGUGAAUCAAGAGACCUAGGAAGAAAAAAUUAUGGUAUUCAACUUUCAUAAGGAUUCAAUUGCUCAGUCCAUAUUAAUUCUAUCUUUUAUCAACACCAAAAUAUCAUUGCAAGAGUGCCGUGUAGCUUUUGGUGUAUUAUUUUUUAUUUAAGUAUUUGUCAAAGAUUCAAUGACUAAUACAUAUUUAUUUUAUCUUUUAGCAAUAUUAAGUCAUUGUAGUAGUAUUGUGCAAUAGGGAUGACAAAACCCCGGGCCGGGUCCGGGUAUUGCAAUGACCGGACCCUACCCGGAUGCAACCGGUCCGGGUCCAGGUCUGGGCCGGGUUUUAAUCCGAGUACCCGAAUUUUAUAUUUUUUAAUAUUAUAUGUGUAUAUAUUUUUUAUUUUUUGGUAAUUUUAUAAGUUUUAAAUUUAUUUCAAUAAAAUUUGACAUGAAAAUAUAAACUUUAAGUGUUUAAAACUUUAUAUAUGUAUAAUAAAUUAGUCAAAUAAAUAUAAAUAUUUAAAAUAAUAUAUAUUUUAUAAUAUUUUUGUAAUAAAAUCCGGGUUCUGGGUUUAUCAAGUGAUGUCCAAGACCGACCCGGCUUCAUACCCGGCCCAUAACGCCCGGGUACGGUUCGGGUCCAGACCGGGCGGGUAUUUUUGCCACCUCUAUCUUACAUCUUUAAGUCAUUGUAGUAGUGUGGUGUAGGAUUUGUAUUUUGUUUAAGUUGCACAUGUAUUUGUUGAAAUUAUUUAUAAAAGAAUAUUAUUCCACUAAUCCAUUGAUUUUUCUUUUUUCUAUGGGGCAAUUAAUAAAAUCAAUUUGGGCCAUAUAUUUGUCAAUUAAUUCAUUGAUCAUUUUCCUAGGGGUCCAGCUACCUUGCGUCAUGGGUUUGGUACCGCAGUUGUUUGUCUCUUAGCGAAUGACCCUUUAGAUUGUACUGAAUGCAUUCUGCACUAUGGUCCAAUAAUUCUCUUUCAAAUACACUUAGGUCCCCAAAUCAAUAGCUCAAUUCUUCACAUUCAAUUUAAAGCUUUUUUUAACUUCAUUAUCAUUUAUUUAUCAAACAUCACAUACCUGAUGCAGAUCCACCAGGUGUUGAGUUUCUACCAGCAUUCACUCUUGAGCUUGAUGUUGUUUCCAAGUUCUUGCAACGCUUCUGCUUGGCACAGAGAAGUAAAUUUUGUAAGUAAGUACACUCAAUCAAAUACUUCAUACUUAACAUUGAUUGCAUAUAUUAAAAAAAAUGUUAGAUGAUUAGUAAUUAACAUUUAAUUAUAGUUGAAAUAUUGUUUAUUAAAUUAGUCUAAUUGUCUAAGAACGGUCAUACAAUUAAUUUCAACAUAUAAAAAAACUAUUGCAAUAAUUUAUUUAUAUUUUGAAACAUAGCUCAACUAUGAAUUAUUAAAACUAAUAUAGCUUCACAGUUUUUGCAUCAAUAUCUCUUUUCAUCUUUCGCUUAUCUUAUCAAUUUAAAUUUAAAAUCUAUGUUAAAGAUGUUCUGUCAAUCAAUUUAGGCUAGAGAUUAAUUAAACAAUCUAGUAAGCACAUAAUAGGUAUUAUUAUUAAUUGUUCAAUUAUAAUAAACUUUCAAAUUGCAUUAAUGUGAUAAGAAGUUAUAUUUUGCAAUUAAUCGAAUCAUAUGCUAAUAAUUUGCAAUAUUUAUCAGUAUGAAAUAACUAACUUAGAAUAAAUUAAUUAAUUGAUUGAUUUUUUCUUAAAUUUGAAUAUCUUGUAUUAUCUCUAGUAACUGUUUGGUCCACUUAAUUACUAAAAUCCCACCUAACUAAAGUUUUUUGUGCAAAUGUAUAUUUACCGUAACCCACGUUCUCCAUGCUCUCUAACAAAUCUCUCAAUUAGCCACCGAAUCAUAUCCAUUAAUAGAAUAAAAAUAAAAGCCACCGAUAUUAAGCACAAUGGAUGAAUUCAUCUCUACUUCUUUUGUAUAUUCUCUCUAAAGCUUCAAACUCUAUUUUAGGGUUAUUUUCUUAAUUCUUUUGAAUCAAGCUAUAUAGAAUCUGGGGAGAUGUUUUCAAAUAUUUAUUGAAACGACCCGCCCCGAAUCAACCCAGACGAGUUUAUCUAGUCUCAUCAAAACGGACUUGAUAAUAAUUUUAUUCGUAAAGAUUCUGCCGAAAAUUCGGCAGAGUCUCCUUUAUAUAUAUAACACUCCCAAUCUACAAAUAUGAAUAUAACACUCUCAAUACAAGUCAAUAUACAACAAACUCUAGUGCUCAACAUCCUCAACCAAAAUGCUGAGUUUUAUAUCUCCAGAGUCUCAAAAGAUAAUAUUAUAACUAAUAUUAAUAUCUCAAUUUAUUCUUAAUCCCAAAAAGAAUAAUAUAACAAAAGUAUACAAUCCCAAAAGAACAAGAUGACCAAGAUAUCCUAACAAAAACAUUUAUAUCUUCUAACACCAUCACGUGACCAAGACUCAAAAUAUAUUUACAGUCGCUGGGUCGGUCUGGUGUACCUGCAACCUCCUGGUGAGGGGGGAAAAAUAUAAUAAAAACGGGAUGAGUCUAAAACUCAGUGAGAUCAGUGAGUGGAUAGUAGUUUUGAAAAUUAAUUCUUACUUUAAAAGAAAUAAUCAUAUCAUUUCCAAACAUGAUUGCACUAAACCAUAAGCGAGAAACCAGAAAUAAAUAAUUAAACAUUUAAAUCAGAUUACUAACCAUGGAAAUCAUAUCACAAUAUCAUAUAGAAUUCACAAAUCUGAAAAUCAUCACCAAACAAGUACCCAGGGAAAUAAUCUCGUCAUAUCCGGACCUCAACGGACGAGCAAUGACGUACUAUCUGGGUAACGUCACGCCCCGGAGCUACACGGAUAGACAGGGAAAUACCAUCUCAUAUCUCAUCAUAUCCGUGCAUGCAUAAUCUAGUCCCCAAAUGACAAAAACACCCAAGCACAUGGCCCAAAGCCUAUGUGUGUACUCAGACGGGCCCCAAAGGCCUGUAUCUCAUCUGUAUCAUUUGUAUCUCAAUAUCUGUUUGUAUCUUAUAUCUGUAUCUCUGUAAUCAUCAUACCGCAUGCAUAUGCCCCCAAAAGGCAAAAACGCCCAAACACAUGGCCCAAAGCCUCUAUGUGUGUUCAGACGGGCCCCAAAGGCCUCUCAUCUCAUAUCACCUGUAUUACUGUAUCUGGAGGAGAAGGAUACUGUCUAAUGAUUUCAAAAACAAUCAUUAUACUCAUAUUCACAUACCUUUUAAUCAUACUUUAAAUCAUACCACAUUCAAAUCCACUUUUCUUAUCUUUAAAAUAUUAUCAUGCUUUAUUCAAAGUCGAUACGCAAAAUCAAUAACCAAACAUUUUAAUAAAAUACCAAUGCGUGAAUAAAAAUCCAUUUCGAGGAAAUCAUUAAAUCAGAACAUUUAAAAUACUUAUUUCACAAACAUGCAUUACUAUCAUAAUUAACUAUGAAAAUAGGUUUUGUAUAUUCCACUCACAGUGACGGUGUUCACGGUCGGUUAUCGUCCACGUCCGCGGACCGGUUCUCGCUCGCGGAUCCUCCUAAAUCAAGGAAACGACAUAAUUAUUUUCCGUAAAUCGGAAUUACGGCUAAAUUUAUGCAAUAAACUCGAAACGAACAUCUAUCCAUAAUUGACAACUCCCGUGUCCAUAAAAUUACUAAAAUGCCCUUGAGUCCGUAAAUCAUUAACACAUACUCUGAAAUUGUACAACACCGAAUUACCCUCGGAAUCGUAAUUACACCCACUCCUCAAUUCUAGGAAUUACUAAAAUAUCCACAGGCUCAGAAAUUACAAAAUUGCUCUCAUAGUGUGAAAUUACCAAAAUGCCCUUGCCGGUCAACGGUCACAGGAAUUUGGUCAACGCUGGUUAGGAAGCUCAAAUCUGAAAGUUCAAAUCACGCUGAGUUCAAUGGUACCGGCGGUGAGCUCCAUGCGCGGCAACGGCGCCGGAAUCGAGCUCGACAGCCGUGAAUUCCAACAAUCGACCGGCGGCAAAAUAGUGACUCUCGGUGCCUAUGGAUGGUCGGAAAUGGAAGAGGGAGUCGUGGGGAACAAGAUCCAACCGGUGGUGUCACCCAAAACCGGCGAAAAUCCCGGCGGAGUAAAGUGAAACAAUCGCGGGUUCAAGCUUCAAUUGCCGGCGUUCCGGUUGGUUUUCGGCGGCGAGGAUGGCACGGGAACGACGGUCGGCUUCUAAGCUUCAGAUUGGUACCAAGCUCGGCUGAAACGGUGGCCGGAAAUGGGAGAUAUGGUCGGGUCAAGGUCGCCGGUUCCGGGUCGAGUUUUCGGGUCCGUAGUUGGAUCGGUUUGGCAGUUUCCCUUCACUCUCUCUCACACGUGCAUGUUUUUACCCUGUUUCCAGCUUAUUCUUUUACUUAUAAACUCCUUAACCGCCUCAUUUUCAUUUUGAAAUUCACAUAUGUUACAUUUAUUACCUUUUGUCCUUCACCUUUAAUUUCUUAAGUUUGACAUCAGUUUUGUUGGCCUCACCCUUGGCUGAAAGCUUUUUCCGUCACGUAGAUCGGUGAAAAUGAUUUGAUUAAUUGUGGCUCGUAGGUAAGAAUAAUUGAUGGUUGUCGAAGUCAGUAAAAAUAAAUACUUACUCUAAAUAAAUUGUGUAUAGUGAUUGAGCAGGGUCGUGUCCACAGAGAUCGGUAAUAUUUAAAUCUUUUUUAAAAUGUAAAUUGCAAAAUGGGGGGAUUGUUGAUAAUAAUAAAAAUCAAAUUAAAAUUGGGAAAAGCUUUAGUUGAAGGAAUUAACUCAGCUUGAUUCGACUACUGAUCAUUAAUUCAAAUAUAAAUCAUUACUACUUAUGAAUAGACCGGUUAUAGCUACUGAGACCCUCUAAUAGCUAAUCUCUCAUUAACUAGUCGAUAACCAAGGUACGACCAUUGGUUAUUUCCCUAAUCAAUAGAUAACCCUAGAUACGAUCAUAAAAUUUAAUCAAUUGACAGCCUGAAAAAUCAGAGAGACCCAAAUCCUAAUCAACAAACGCAUACGAUGGUUCAUUUAAAUUAGAUUGUUUAUUCUCAUAACACAACGCACUACUAUGCUAUUUGUCACAAAUAUUAAAAUCUUCAUACGAUGAAUCCUUUAAUUGACAAUAGAUUAAGUUGAUAAUUAAAUAGUGGCCAAUUAUCUAAUUAACAAACAUAAUCAUGACAAUAAUUUAGAGAAUAAACAAAUACCCAAAAAGUAAUAAAAUAAUUAAAGCAUAAGAAAGAUCUCACAGUAAUGAUGAAUCAAAGCUUCAUUAAUCUUCAACCAGAAUAAUAGGUUUAGUUAUUCACAGAGAAAAGAGAAAAAUUUAGAUCUAGGGUUUUUUUUUUACAAUAGAUUCCCCCCUUUAAUUCUCUCUCCCCUCUUCUCCUCUAGAGUUCUUUUUAAAAUAAAAUACUAAUAUCUAUUAUCUAAAUAUUAAAUUCGGAAUUACAAAAAUAACCAAAAAGAUAAAACACGUUAAACUAAUAACUGCAGAUCCGUAGUUGACAAUACGCGUCCACGCCUUAUCAACAAAGUUCUUCUGAAGCUCAUAAUUUCUCCAGGAAAACAAUCAUCCUAAAAAAUCAUCUUGUAGCUCAACUUUAUUACCAAUCAAUAGAAUUACACCUACAGAAAUAAAACACAAGUAAAUCACUAUUAUUAAGUGCAAAACAUCGAUAUUAAAGAAAGUAAACAAUGCAAAACUAGAGCAUAAAUUGCACUCUAACAAUAAUUAUUGUUUUUUUGUGUUCAUGUUUUUAAUUUAUUGGAUUUAGUUCACAAUUUAUUUUACAACAACUGAAAUAGAUGUUAAUUAGGAUAGAUUCAUUUUCUUGUUUAGUAUAUAGAAUUUUCUACUUUAAUUUAAUUGUAUCUUAAUUUUUUUUUUUGUUUAUAUAUUGUUAUGCAGUGAAUCAAGAGACCUAGGAAGAAAAAAUUAUGGUAUUCAACUUUCAUAAGGAUUCAAUUGCUCAGUCCACAUUAAUUCUAUCUUUUGUCAACACCAAAAUAUCAUUGGAAAGAGUGCCGCGUAGCUUUUGGUGUAUUAUCUUUUAUUUAAUUUUUUGUCAAGGAUUCAAUGACUAAUACAUAUUUAUUUUAUCUUUUAGCAACAUUAAGUCAUUGUAGUAGCAUCAUGCGGCUUUAAGUCAUUGUAGUAGUGUCGUGUAGGAUUUGUAUUUUGUUUAAGUUGCACAUGUGUUUGUUGAAAUUAUUUAUAAAAGAAUAUUAUUCCACUAAUCCAUUGAUUUUUCUUUUUUCCAUGGGGCAAUUAAUAAAAUCAAUUUGGGCCAUAUAUUUGUCAAUUAAUUCACUGAUCAUUUUCCUAGAGGGGAUUAAUAAAAUGAUAAUUUUAACGAUGAAGUAGAAUAAAAUGAGUUUCAAUAAUCAUUUUCUUCGAAAUACUAAAAUUUAAUUAGAAAUAUAAAUUUUUUCAAACUAAAAUAACAUAUUUUCAAUUGCAUAACCAAUUAGAACUAAUAUUUUUCCGAUUUUUUUUCAUCUGUUUUUACCCCUAGAAAAUAGUGUAUUUUUAAGAGUAAUCAGUUAGUUGAAAUUGAUAUUGCAAAUACAACCGCAAUCGAGAAUUCUCUCCUUUACUACUUAAACUAGAAAAUAGAACCGCGUUUCACGCGGCUUUGAAAAAAUUUAGUAUUAUCUUUUUUUCUUACUUUACACUUGAUGAAAUUGAUAAAAAAUAUGAAUUGAUUUUUUUUUUAAGAUGAGGCGGCCUUAUAAAAAAUAAAAAAAGAUAUUAGCCAGCAAUACAAAUAAAGAAGCAACGCAAGAUAAAGAAUAAAAUGAGAUAAUAUAUUAUAGAGUGAUUUUAUUCAUUCUAAUUGUGUGUGUACAAAAUAAAAAGAUGAGCUCUCCUUUUUAUAGUUACAUAAUCACUCCAUGAAAUUAAUGAAAAAUUAUGGAUCAUAAUUCAUUGUGAGAUAGUGGGAGUUAUAGGGAAGCUAAAGGUUGCUAAUGGGAGAUAGUGGGGAGACUAAGAGAUAUAUGUUAUGAACAUCUACAUUUAUUUUAAUAAAUUCAUAACACUCCCCCUUGGAUGUUCAUUACAAAGAAUAUGCCUCAUUAAAAUCUUUACAUAAUUGUUAUUGUGUAAUAACAAUCAAAUUAAUUAUGAAAAGAUGAAAAGCCAAAUCUAAAAGAAAAUUUAUCUAUUUAUUAGAUAAUAGAGAAUAUACAAAGAUGAGAAAUUGUGAUGCCACAUCACCUCCUCAAAUCCCAACUUUAUAUAUAUAUAUAGAUUGGUCAUGAAUAUGAGUCCUCAGUCACAUGUCCAUAUUAAUUUUGAGAAAUUUAUAAAAAUGACCAUAGAACUUUUACGUUUUUCAACUUUAACCCCCCAAAAUUUUUUCUAUCAUAACUAGCCAAAUAUCUUAUUUUUGGACUAGAUUACCCUCAUCACUUUCAUCAAAUUCACAAAGGUAUGCCACUUUUUCAAUUCCAGCACCACUAAAUACGAAUCUUCCUCAACAACUUAACAAACCUUCAUCACUCUCAACAAACUUCAUCACUCUCAAUAAAUCAACAAAUUCCAUCAAACAAACAUUGCAUAAUUGAAGAUACAAUCAUCAAUUGGAGAGCUUCUUAAAAUUAGUUUAUGCUCUUACACAAUGUAAACCUUUAAUCUAUUGAUUUUAUCAACUAAGUUCGAAAUUAAAGUGGGUUUUGUUGCAAAUGUUGUUAUUUUUCAUUCAUAAAACAAUGUGAUUUGUUAAAGUACUUAGUUUGAGUUGAGAAAUGAAGAAAAAUCAUUAAAAAUACAGAAAAAUCGGGCAAAAAAUGAAGUCCAAAACAAGUGAGACAAGCAGUGAGACAUGUGUCUGUCUCACAUAAACCCACUGAUUUUAUGGAAUAUAUGAUUUUGGAUUUGAUUUGUCUCGUCGUAAGCUUCGAAACGGUAUAAUUAUUACAAUAUUUUGGCUCACUACUCCGAACCCCAAUACACAUAAUCUCUCAAAUCACUAGAACAAGAGCUUUUAUUAUUUAAGCUCUACAAAACUCUCUGCUCUACAGGAAAUGCUUCUCACAAAAUUGGAUGCAGAAAUGAGGAGGAGGAACCUCUUUUUAUACCAAAACUUGGCUACUGUUCAUGCUUUAUUUAAUUAUUAUUUUUUUUCUUCUUCCUUUUCGGUCCGGCAUUCAUUUUUUCUUCCUCUUUUGUCUUCUUUCUUCUUUUCUUUUGUUCCGGUCAAAGAAGCAACCAAUGCAUUCUUCUUCAAAAUCAGUGGGCCCACCUUCUAGAAGGGUGGUGCCCACAUGCCAUUUUCAUCAUUAAAUAGAUGAGGGUUGGAAUAGAAUCUUUUCAAUGUGAAUCAUGAAGGAUCUAUUCAAAAUAAAAGUGAUAAAGAUUAAGAAAGAACUUAAGAAGCUAAGAGCUUUUAGAAGUCUUUGAAGAAAUAAUAUUAAUUUGAAAGGAAAAGAAUUUAAAAUGAAGAAGAAAAAGAUAAUUGAUAAGAAGUAAGACUAACUGUACAUCUGAUUGAGGAACAGGCUUGUUAAUUCAAACUAUUAUAACCAAUUGGGAAUUGAAUUAAGUUAACAGUUAACUCGUAAUUGAAUGUCUAAACUAACAAUGUAUACAAUUACAGAUGAGACUAUAAAAUUGCAAAAAUACUGCUGAUUGUGAAUCAAUUUGAACAUGCCAAUCCUUAGGAAUUCCUUUCAGUAUCAUGGGAUUUAGAUCUCAAUUACCUUUUUUAUUUGAGUACGAUGACAUCCCGAACUAUCAAAAAUACCCACUUGUCCAAACGUGCCUAUGUCCACUUUAUCAUUUAUAUAUGAAAUGUUCUAAUUAAAUGGAGCAAGUCCACAUAAUACAAUCAUUUUCAAUUACCCAGCAUUUGGAAUACAGAUGCUUUGUUUCUUCGUUUUUUUUAUUUUUUGUUCUUUUUUAUUUACUUGAUACAACUAAUAAGUAAACUCAUAGCAUUUUCUAUCACCUCUUUUUUUUUUGGGAGUAUUAGUAAAUCAACUCUGUAAUGCUCUGCCUCUUUACCAUAAAAGCUGCAUUUUAAUGGCAUCAGCUUACAGUUAUGUGUACUAAGUAAAACAAUUCUUUAUUGUGACAUUUUCAUCCUCCAGAAAAUACAUAAAUAAAAUAAAGGAAAUUUUAUUUUUGUUAAAAUCCAUGAAUAUUAAUUACUACCUUGUUCACUGUUCAGUAAAAAUAAAACAACAGUUUUUUUUUUUUUUAAUUUAACAAUAUUGUGUUAGAAUAUACUUCCCAGGUAAGGUUGAUAGAAAAAACCAAAUUUCAAUCAGUAUUGGGAUUCUGUCCCAAAACAAGCACUUACUUAUUACAACUUUUACUAACUUAUUUUUCCACCACACAAUUUACUCAAUUUUUAUUUAUACCACACAAUUUAACUUAUUUUAACUACCACUAACUUAAGUUACUUGGCUAGGGUAAAAUUAUGUUGCAACUGUGGUAUGAUACCACAAUUACAAUCAAUCAUUAAAUUUACAGUUGUACAAUUGUAUUUAUUGGACCUAAUGAUUAAAAGUAACUGUGGUAUCUUGCAACAUAAUUGGACCUACUUUGCUAACAUAUUAUAGAAACCAACAUCCCAGAUUUUUCUUAAGAUAUUUCUACAGAUAUUUUAACAUUUUAGAUUAUAAAUUACUUUUCAACACUUAAUUUAAUCACUGAUUGUUGACGACGACGAAGCCAACAAAUUUGUUUCGUUGUGCUAAUCGGACAAGCGAUAAGGACUUCACAAGAGUACAAAACAGAGCCUCGAUCUAAUAAUAUUACUGAACAUAGCAUUUUUGUUUCCUUAUUAAUGGAUUUGUUUCCUUAUUAAUGGAGAGAAGCAGUUCUGUUUUUGCAGUGAUUAAGCGCAUAGAAGAUAUUAAUGGCUUUACUUAUCAUCAUCAACUUCCUUUUGUGUCUCCCCUUCUUCCUCUUCUUCUUUGCUUUGCAAAGGCUCAUAACCUCAAGAAAUAAUACUAAAUUACCACCCGGCCCCUGGGGCCUUCCCUUAAUCGGUAACUUACACCAGUUUGAUGUCUCAAAGCCUCAAGUGUCAUUUUGGGAGCUGUCACGGAAAUAUGGCCCCCUCAUGUCCUUGCGUCUUGGUUUUGUGCCAUCCCUAGUAGUUUCCUCAGCAAAACUGGCUAAAGAGAUAUUAAAAACCCAUGACCUUCAAUUUUGUAGCAGGCCAGCCUUGGUAGGACAACAAAAGUUAUCUUACAAUGGUCUUGAUUUGGCGUUUUCACCCUAUGAUGGUUAUUGGAGAGAGAUAAGAAAAAUUUGUGUCAUUCAUCUCUUUAACUCUAACAGGGUAGAAAAUUUUCGACCCAUUAGAGAAGAUGAAGUUUCAAGAAUGAUUGAAAAGAUUUCAAAAUCAGUUGCUGCUUCUAAUCCCGUAAACUUAAGCGAGGUAAUGAUGUCUCUUACCAGCACCAUUAUUUGUAGAAUUGGAUUUGGCAAGAGGUAUGAUGACGAUAAAGCAACAAGUGCAAGAAGUAGAUUCCAUGCCCUGCUUAAUGAAACUCAAGCCUUGUUUGUAAGCUUUUUUGUUACAGAUUAUUUUCCUUUCAUGGGCUGGAUUGAUAAGCUCACAGGAAUGAUGCAACGCCUGCAAAAUAACUUCCAAGAACUCGAUAGAUUCUACCAGGAACUCAUCGACGAGCAUUUGGAUCCAAACAGAACAAAAUCAGAAUUGGCGCAACAGGAGGAUAUAAUUGAUGUUUUACUUCAAAUACGAAAAGAUCGUGGAUUUAAAGUUGACUUGACUUUGGACCACAUCAAAGCGGUGCUCAUGGUGAAUAAUUUUAUAAAUAGUUAUAUGUAGACUCGUGCUCAGGCGCAGACUUAAAAUUUUGUGCAGAUACCCAAUUUUACAGUCUUGUAAAAUGGUUUAUAAUGCUGUAAAGUGCCUUUGAUGUCCGCCUGAACAUGAUUAAUUUAAUGUAAUUUUAUUUGCUUUUAACUAAUUUACUAUGUAUGUAUGUAUGUUGUUUGUUUUGCAGAACGUACUCGUUGCUGGAACAGACACGAGUGCAGCAACUGUGGUUUGGGCCAUGACUUACCUAAUGAAGAAUCCUAGAGCAAUGAAAAAAGUUCAACUGGAAAUCAGAUCGUUGAUUGGGUGCAACAAAGGCUUUGUAAAUGAAGAUGAUGUUCAAGAACUGCAUUAUCUUAAAGCGGUAGUGAAGGAGACAAUGAGAUUGCAACCCACAGUACCAUUACUAAUCCCAAGAGAAACAAUUCAAAAGUGCGUAAUAGAUGGGUAUGAAAUACCAGCUAAAACACUUGUCUUUGUAAAUGCAUGGGCGAUAGGAAGAGACCCUGAAGCUUGGGAGAAUCCGGAGGAAUUUUAUCCGGAGAGAUUCGUUGAUAGCUGUAUUGACUUUAAAGGGCAACACUUUGAAUUAAUACCGUUUGGUGCUGGCAGAAGAAUUUGUCCUGGGUUGAAUAUGGGAAUCGCAACUGUGGAUCUCGCACUUGCUAAUCUUCUUUACAAAUUUGAUUGGGAAAUGCCGCCUGGAAUGAAGAGCCAAGACUUGGACUUUGAUGUUCUGCCGGGAAUUACUAUGCAUAAGAAGAAUGCUCUCUCUCUUUCGGCUAAGUAUCAUGAGUAGGUAAAUUAAGGCACCUCGGACAAUAAGAGUUUGAUCUGAACUAAAUAUAUGUUAUAGAGAUUGCAUGUAUGUCCUGAAUUGUGCUUCUCAUGUUUCCUUUCUUUCUUCUUAUGUAUAAUGAAUGUUGAUGUCUAAGUGCCCAUAGGCUGAGUGGUUUUUAAUAAUUAAAUUUCUUUUAGUUCAAAAUUUUGGGAGGUAAGGACUAGAGAAUAAUAGUUACUCUGCUCACUCUCCUAUACUAAAAAAAAAAGGUUGAUAUGAAUGUGAAUAUUAAUCUAGUACGUUCAUUUCAUCUCAUAUUUUUUCUCCUAUAUUUUUUUCUUUAAAUUUAACUUCUAUCACUUAACCUGCUAUCUUUUUAUAUGAUUGGAUAGAGAUUGAAAUUUUUGCUGUUCCAUCUCAAUGUUAAUGCUUAUAUUAUCUUCACACCUUUACUGUAAUUUUUUACUUUUACUAUUAGAUGCUGAUAGGGUCUUUUCUUGGAGAUUGCUUCACAAAAAAAAUUCUGAAAGAAGAUUUUGUUGAUCGGAUAGCAAGCUUAUCCAUAUAGUUUAAUGGAUUAUCUGCAAGAGCUCUUUUUAGUGCGCAUACAGUUGUCCCUUCAUGUUAGCAUAUUCAUUCUGUCGUCAAUGAACUUUUGCAUUUAAAUGGUAUCAGUUCAAGUGAUGAAUGAAUUUUACCUAUUGCCUAUCUUGGACUAAAUUUAAUUUCAAAAAAUGAGCUUCCAGCUUAUGACUUAUACGUAUCUUGCACUUUGGUUUUACGAUCACCAUUGGAUGGAAGAGUGGCUCGAGUUUGUUAAUUGCUUCAGUCCCAGGACUAGUGUUUGGAAACAUAAAAUUUCUCAGUUCAGCAGCUAUAAAUCUGUUUCAUGAUUGUUAUUGCACACUAUUUCCUAUAUUUUUGUCUCCAUGCUCAUACUGAAUUAGUGGUGCAUUUGUCAUCUUUCGCCUCUCAUUAAAAUGUGCUUAUUAUUUUUUAUUUCAAUCGUAGGAUGGGAAGAUUGAUACUGAUUCCAUCUACAAUGGGUUUAAAGACAACGUGAGGUUAAUGUGGGAGCGUUUCUUGUCAUCCCAGCAAAUGUUGACAUAAACAACAGACUGCAAGCUUCCCCUACUCUCUGUUCAUAUUUGCAUUUGUGUGCAUCUUGUACUUGUUGUUGCAGAAAGAUGAAUAUGUAAGAAUAAGAUCGUGUUUGUAUGCAAUGGUCAAAUGUUUUUGCAAAAAAUGUCGUUGCUUGAGUUCCUCAAUUCUCAUUCUGAACUUCAAAUUUUGUACAUUUCUUUAACUUAAUUUUUUUUUUUUCUGUGUAAUAGUAGUAUAAGUUUGGUAUCAAAAUUAAGCUAGUGACAUACUUGGAUCACUUGGGAUCCACUUGCAAAUGUAUUUUGAAGAAAAGUUUUCUCCCCGCCUUUUAUGUAAUCACACCCACCAGUAAUAUGGUAAUUUAUUGAAAGGUCCUUGAUGCCCGGUAAAAGUUAUAAUUAAAUUAAUAAACUUAUCUUUUUAAAUUAAUAAACUCAUCUUUUUGAAUAAGUUCAUCAUUUUGUACGUAUAUUAGUUUUUUUUUUUUAAAUUCCUUUUAUUUCUAAACUAUUGGUUGGAAGCAAAUAUUUCACUGUAAUCUCCUGUCGACCAAAGGAGAUGCCUUUCCCAAAGCAAGAAAAGAAAACACAAAAAGCCCACUUCAAAAACUUGUGCAAGAAGGAGAUGUGAUUACGCUGUCUUUCUGUUUCUUGGUGCGUGUAUAGAUAUAUACAUACACACAUAAGUCUGAGGACCAGCUGGCCAACAGCCCACUAGGAAGCAAUUUUAAAAUUUUUGGUCAGUAUUGUUCUUUAUAUCUUAUGAAUUUUUCCUUCAAUUAUUAUAUUUUCACUCAGUUUUGUUUUUGGGCACGCGUUAUGUGAUUUUCUUUUGAUGAUUUCCGUGGCUUCUUUUUAGCUCUUAUUUUACUGUUUCUACUGGUUAGUUUAGCUACUGUCUACUGAGAUAAAAUUAUUUGCUUGAAUAACUUAAUCUUUUGCUAUUUUAUUACGUUCAGUUUAUAUACAGUUGAUUCAUUGUAACAAAUGUUAUCAUAAAUGAUUCUUGAGUAAUUUCAUUUAUUUACUUUUUCUUCUUUCAUAGUUGGCCUGUACGGUAUCAUUUACUUUUAUCUUUUUUCAAAUUUCUUUUAAUCUACAGAAUGUUUGUUUUAGUCCUGAUCUUGGGUUACUGAAAUGUUUCAUUCCCUUUUCCUAAGUAUUUUUGUUGCUUGUUUAUCGGGCAAUACUGCAACAGUGAUUUUAAUUCACAAAAUUCUGUAAAUACUUAUUAUUCUUAGUGUGGUUUUAAGGUAGAGUGAAGUUAAUAUUAUCAUAAUGGCUUACAUUCCUCCACAUAUGAGGCAUACGAAGGACCCCCAGAGGCCAUCUCCAGUUCCAGAGAUGAUUGUGCCUAAAUUCAACAGAAAAUUAAACUUGGGAUCAUCCAAGCAUAAUGCAGACAUAAGUGGAAAGAUCGUGUAUGCAGAUCCUGCCAUACACAGGUGGUUCAUUUGUGGCUUGGAUAAUGAUAGCAGCAGUCCUUCUGUCCGCUUUGUGGAGUUUUCAGACGACCCUGUUGAGCAUAAAAAAUCGACGACCAUUAAUCUGGCUCGAGGUUACUGAUCUGCAUUUGUAAUUUUAUCUUAAAUAUGUUCUACUUUCUUUCUUUAUUUAUAUCUGGUGCUAACUUUAGUUAUAUUGACAUUUGGAUUUUGGGUUGGUAGAUAACGAUAAAUUGUGUGGGAAUACAUCAAGAAGCCCAUGGGAAUCGAUAGCAGAAAAUGUAUGGCCAGAUGUAUUGAGUGCUUGUAAUAUUGUCAAGAACGAAAUGGAGGAAAAGCCAACAAUGGUUGCUAGAUUUGGCCAUCAUCUUUUCCGUGAGUAUGUGAUCUGGUUCCAUUGCUGUAACAGCUUGAAUUUUUUAUUAGGUCAUUCCUUUUCUUUGGACUUUGAAAUUAAAGCAGCAAAAAUGCAUAUUCAUACUUAAUUCUGACAGAAAUCUUAUGGUCAUAUAAGUGGUGGCAGCUAAAAUUAUGAGCUUUACCAUUAACCCUACCACCAGCUGUGGAUGACUGUAAAUCGGAUCUCUAAACCAGGGACAAAAGUUAAAAUUGCUUUUAAAAGCCAAAGAGGAAAAUGGCAAUUUAUAGUGCAUGCACUUCUUUCAGACUUGUAUCUCAUAGAAGCUUUCAUGGCAUCUGGAAUUUGGCUUUGGCUUUGCGUAGGACAUUUCAAUUGUUGCUGGUGGAAACAAAUAUAUCCAUUGUCUUAGUUUUGCUUGAUUUCCGGUGCAAGAAACAAAUAAAUUUGUUGCCGUGGCCAAGUUUUGUUGUUUGAUAUUUCAUUGGGACAACAAAGUAUACCACUGCUUCGCCUAUUUCUUACAUCUUUGCAUCAUAUAUUUCCAUUCUUCUAUCACAUCUUUGAAGCUUCUACUAGUUCUCAUAUUAGAAGCGCCUCAAAGAAAUAAUUAUUAUAUUAUUCGUCUUAAUGAAGGAGUGACAUACUGAGCUUAGAAAAUGCGAAAGAAGGUCAGGUUGCUGAAUCUGCUUUGAGCCCACUGAGGAGAUGCUUUUACACUGGUGUCCCUCCUACAUACAUGGGAAAAAUUGUAAAUGAAGUUGUGCCAAAAAUUGGGGUUGGUUUUGUAGAGAACAAGGAUAUAUACCAUGUCAAGGUAGUUCUCCUGCAGUCCUGCUAAAUACUUUAGUAGUCAUGACCAAGUUUCUUUUAUCUCUCAAUUAAUUAGCCAUUGAUUCCCCCCCCCCCUUUCUUUUUCUUGUGUAGUUGUCUGAUGGCACACGACAAAUUACGUGCAAAUGUACUGUUAAAGAAGAUCAAAAGCUUCAUCUCUAUAAGGCAAGUCUUUUGCUACUGGCUGAGUAUUAUUUAUGGACAACGGGUCCAAGUUUAUAAGUUGCCUCUUGUGUUAAGGAGACUUUUGCUAGUGGAAACAUUGAAACAAGACUUAUGAUGUUUUGAUUUGAAUGAUAUAAUCUUUUCACUGUGAAUUAUGAAGGAGAUGUCGAAUAUAAGCGAUAGAUAUCAAGAAAGAGACGAAACCUUUGUGUCUCAAAAGAACCUUUUAGAAGUCUCUCCAGGAAUAAUCUCAGUUAAGAGGAAAAGAAUUUAAAAUGAAAAGAAGGAAGAAAAUUCUCAAGAAGUAAGACUAAUUCUACAUCUAAUUGAGGAACAGGCUUGUUAAUUUAACAAGGAAAGCUCCAGUAGCUAUUUAUUAUAAACCAAUUAAAAAUUGAAUUAAAUUAAUAGUUAACUUGUAAUUGAAUGUCUAAUCCAACAAACUAUGCAUAAGAUUACAGACGUAACUAUGUAAUACAAAAAACCUCUGCUUAUUGUAGACCAAAGUGAAUAUGCCAAUAUUUAGGAAUUUCUUUCAGCAUCAUGGGAUUUAGAUCCCUAUAAUCUUUUUUUAUUUUAGUGUAGUGACGUCCGGAAGACCAGAAUUAUCACGUACCUCGUACUAGUCGUUUUAUUUAUUUUGUCUUUUAAAGCGCCACAUUAUUUCCCAUACAGUCAUAAUAUAUCUAUUUUUUGUUUAUUUAUCGUUGCCGUGUGUGGAGUCUCAUCUUGAAUAUGAACAUUUUUCCGGUAGGUCGAACUGAACUCUGUUCGUCACAUGGUAGCAGACAUGUUAUGCGUUCAUAAAAAUCUAGACCUGAGGUUGGCACUAUGUUCAAAGAGUACCUUAUCUGCUCUCUCGGUAAGUCAAUCUGCUCCUCCGUGCAUGUUUUAGCUGGACUUUUAAGUUACGCCUUCUUUUUUCCCCUUUUUAUUUUAUUUGGUCAUUUGCUUGUUGGAAUCAUCAUCAUUACAGAAUGAUGAAGAAAAAUUCAAGACCAGGGGAAAUAAGGAAAUAUUAAACUUAUAGCUUUUGUUUUAUCAUAGAAAGUUUACUUUCAAGGGGUUGAGAAAAAAUUUAUAUAUAUAUAUAUACACACACACAUACACACACACACACACACACACACGACAAGCUUAAAACGGUUAAACAUUAGCAUGCAUGAUCCUUUUCUUCAAAACUGAAACUUUACAAAUGUUAAAAAUAGAAUAACAAAUAAAUUAUUAGAUUUCCAAAAUCAGUUACCGUUAUGCAGGCUUAAAACAAAAGUUAAAUAUAAGCUCUUUUUUUUUUUUUUGGGGGGGGGGGGGGGGGGGGGGCGUGUGUGCCUAUGAGUAGUCCCAGCAAAUGAAUUCUAUGAUCAAACUGAAAUUUUUGAAUUUUCAGGAUGAUGAAAUGAACAGCAUUAGAAUUCUGAUUAAUUCAGCCAUUCCGGAUCCGGAAGUCAAGGGUGGGUUAAGAUGGCCCAUGGGGAAGUCAUAUUCAGGGGAUUACACAAUUGUUGGGGUUUGGCACAAUGAAUUUAAAUCAUAUAAAAGCCCAUCACUAAAGCUUAAGGUAAGAAAUGUUGAUCGAUUUAUUUUCAAGACUGGAACUGGGGAAGCUACGAUUGAGAUUAAUCUAAAGUUGAGAAGACUAGUUUCAGAGAUUCAGGUACUUGCUGCUUUUUGCUUUAACUUUUAUCACAAAACCUACUAUCUUUGUGCAUGAUUACAUGGAUCUUGAAAUUCUUGCUGUUAUGUCAUAAUGUUAAUGCAUAUUUUGUCUUCACGCAUUUCUUACUGAACUUGUGUCUUGAGCUGUAAUUGUAAUUUCCAAUUUUUACUAUUAGAUGGGUAUUUUAUUGGGGAUUUCUUUACUUAAAAAAAAAAUAUGUUUGACAGAGAAUAUUUUAACGAUGAGAUUGCAAUAUUGUAAUAGAUAAUCUUCAGGAACUCUUUUUACCUUUUAGUAGUUAUGCAGUUGCUCCUCUGUGUUAGCUUAUUUAUUCUAUCAUAUGUAACGAAUGACUUUUUACCAAAUUUGAUUUCAAAGCUGAGCUUCCAGCUUAUGACUAAUAUUUGUGUCUUGCACUUUUGUUUUACAAUCACCAUUAGAUGGAAGAGUGCUUAGAGUUAGUUAAUUGAUUCAAUCCCAGGAUUAGUCUUUUGAAACAUAAAAUUUAUCGGCUAAGCUAUAUAAAUCUGUUUCAUGUUUCUUAUCGCACACUAUUUCGUAUGGCUUUGUCUCCAUGCUCAUACAAAAUUAGUGUUGUAUUAGAUGUCUUCUGUCUUUCAUUCACAUGUACUUAUUACUUUUUCUUUCAAUCGUCAGGAUGGGGAGAUUGAUACUGAUUCCAUCUACAAUGGGUUUAACGACAACUUGAGGUUAAUAUGGGACCAUUUCUUGUCAUGGGAGUCAUAACUUUUGACAAAAACAACAGAUUGCAUGCUCUCCCCGCUCGGUUCAUAUUUGCGUUUGUGUGCAUCCUGCAGUUGAAGAUGUAGAAUGAUGUAAAUGCAAGAAUAAGAGCAUGUUCGUAUCCAAUGGUAAAAUGUUUUUGCUAAAAUGUAUGGACUUGUAACAGCUUGUUGCGUGAGUUUCUCAAUCUCCUGAACCUCAAAUUUUGUCCUAUUUUCACCCCGGCUUUUUCCCCCCGUCCUCUGUAAUAGUUAUAUUUGGUAUAAGUUUGGCAGUUCCUGUGUAAAGUGUUUCAUAUUCAUGUGUGGAAUAAAUAUCAACAUCCAGAUACAAGAAAGUUUGAUUUUAUUUGUAAGACCUGUCUCUCAAAGUUAAUCUAGUGACAUGCUUGAAGCACUUGGGAUCCACUAGUUGGAUGUAUUUUUGUUAAGAUUUAUUUAGCAUUUUGUAUGUGUAUCAGUGCCUUUUUUUUUUGUUGUUAAACCGUUGGUUAGAGGGCAAAUAUUUCACAUUAAAGUGGGGUCUGCUUGCCACCAAGGGAGAUGCCUUUCCCAAAGCAAGAAACGAAAACUCAAAAGCCCACUUCAUAACUUGUGUAAGAAGGAGAUGUAAUUGACAUAUGCUGUCCUUUUUCUUGGUGCGUGUAUGUGUGUGUAUACACACUUAAUUCCGAAGAUCAACUGAGCCAACAGCCAAAACUUGAAAGCAAUUUUAAAAUUUUCGGUUAGUAUUGUACUUUAUAUCUUUUGAAUUUCUCUUUAAUUUAUUAUAUUUUCACUUUAGUUUUGUUUCUGGGUACUCUUUAUGGGCCACAAUUAUGGUACCACUGUGGUACCAUACCACAGCUGGAUCCAGCCAUUGGAUCCGGCCUACAGUGGUCCCCAUAGCUGGAUCCAAUGGCUGGAUCCAGCUGUGGUAUGGUACCACAGUGGUACCAUAGCCGGACCCCUCUUUAUGUGCUUUUCUUCGAUGAUUUUGGUGAGCUCAUAUUUUACUGUUUCCACUGGUUAGUUUAGUUAUUGUCUACUAAGAUAAAAUUAUUUGCUUCAAUAACAUAGAGUAUUGAGGUGUUGUAAUUUAAAAUUUUAGAAAAAAAUAUAUUUAUAAAAUAAAAGUUAAUAGUAUGUGGUAAAUAUAAUUUUAAAAUAAUAAUUUUAAUAAAAUUAGUAAAGAUAUAAUAGAUUUUCAUCAUAUAAAAGUAAAAUCAAAUCAACUUAAUUUCUAAACUACAUAAAUUAAUUUUUAUAAAACACUUUAGUGCUGUAACUACCCAACCUCAAUCUAAAGUAUAGCCUUAAUUGUUUGCUAUUUUAUUAUGUGAUUGUAUAUAGAGUUAAUUAAUUGUAUCAAAUGUCAUUAUAAAUGAUGCAUGAGCAAUUUCAUAUUGUUUUUCUUUCCUUCAUUGAUAAUUGGCUUGUCGGAUAUCUUUGAACUUUUUUUUUUCGCCUCAAAGUUCUUUUAGUCUGCAGAAUGUUGGUUUUAGUUUCGAUCUUGGUUACUGCAAUAUUUCAUUCAUUCUUUCUAAGCAUAGUGGGUUCAUUUCACAAAAUUCUGUAAUAAGUACUUAUUGUAGUUUAAGGUAGCGCGAAGUAAUAUUAUCGUAAUGUCUUACAUUCCACCACAUAAGCAGCAGUUUGUAAUCAAGACUGCAGAGAAUCUUGCAGAUAUAUUGACUAAGGUGGUGACGACAAUUAAGUUUGAGCAUUAUCUAAACUUGAUCAAUAUCUUACAAGUUUGAAAAUAGUCAGAGAAGACAGAGACUGGAGGAUGGUUUGUUGAUAGUCGGCUCAGAUUUACUAAAUUUUCGUUAAGGUAGAGAAUUGUUGAAAAAUCAAGCAUGCUUGCAUGAGCUAGCUAGCAUGCAAAUUUCAAGCCCACCAAUGUUCAGCUAGCGUGAUCCAAUUGCAUGUGCUAGCAUGAUCUCUUCGUCAAAAGUCACACCAAAGCCAUUAAAAUUGAAAAUGGCCAAAGUUUUUUUUUCAUGCAUUUAUAUUGUAAGAUUUGCCUAUAAAUAGAGGAGUAGAAUGCAUUUGUAAAGCAUCCCAAUUUGUGAGAAGUAGAGAGCAAUUGCAAGUGAGCUCUUUGAGAGAAUUUGAGAGAGCUUCCACUUGAGUGUUCUAGUUGUUGUGCAAAUUUUAAUGUACUCGCAAGCGCACGAAUCUAUUGUAGUAUAGAUCAAUGGUGACGAGUGUCGAUCCCACGAGGAGGUGGAUUUUAAUUGUGUAUAGAAUUAAUUUUGUAAAUGGGUGGUUGGAUCUGUGGUGGAAAUGAAUUGGAAUAUGCUAAAACUUAAAUUAAAAUGGCGAGAAUAAAUUCUAAAAUUGGAAUUGCAAUGGCGAGAAUAAAUUGAAGAGAAAUGUAUUGAAAUGACGUACUUGGGUAUCUGGAUCCGUAUCAACAUGCAUCAUGGGCUAAAUAAUCCGUAUUAAUGCCAAUUAAAUCAUGAGGGGGGAAUCCACACCUCAUGAACCACGCUCUAAUCAAUAUGGUGCUAAGGGCUUAUCGUGCCAAAUAAUAAUAACCUUAUACUAGAGAGCCGGUGUAACCAAGGCGGUAUCUAGACAAGAUCAGUAUUAUUUGUCGACGAUAAGUCAAAUCAUCCACAAAAACUAGAGGGGAAAAGAAAAUAAAUUUACCAAAUAAAGCCCAUGACACAUGUUGAGACUUCACCUUCAACCCAAGCUUGAAAGGAAAUUAGCUACUCAUAAUUGAACUAGGGGCAAAAUGAAAAUUUAUUAAAAUACGAAGAAAAUACAAGAUGGAGAAGGAAUUACAGAAAAUGGAUCCCAAAAAUGGAUUCAGAGAUAUCAAAUUAGGGGGGGGAGGCCCCUUUUUUAUAGAUACAUGGAGUAAAUCAUGGCCAUCGGAUUAAAAACAGUUUGGACGCUCAGGAUUGCGCCACGUCAUCAGUCAACAGUCCACGGUUUGACCACGCGGAUGAACAGUAACACGGUUUGACCACGCGGAUGAACAGUAACGCGGUUUGGUUGAAAAUAAUCCUGUGUGAUGCAUGCACCGUACGCGAGAUUUUUCGUCCACUGAUAUGCUGCCACGUCACCAUCAACAGUACAUAAGAAUUUUAGUCCAACAGGAUCGUGACACCUCAUCAGUCAAUGCCACAUCAUCGGUCAAUGCCACGUCAUCGAUCCGUCUAUGUGAACAGUGUCGUGAACAGUAACGUAGACAGUACCGUAUACGUGAAUAGUACCGUACAUGUGAAUAGUGCCAUUUUUCUUUUUAUGCCCCUCCUAAGGUUUUCGACCGUCCUGAGUUCAAAAGUGAUGUCCGUUUUGCCAUCUGAUCUCUCCUUUAUUGUGAAAUAACUAUAAUGCCCCUAAAAUACAUAAAAUACUUAAUUAAAAUAAAACACAUGUAAUUAAAUCACAAGAAGGUUAAAUACAUAAAAGUAAGGGUUUUUAAUAAGACUUGAAAUGUAAAAUGACGGUUUUCUCCUUUAUAAAUAUGCAUUUUCUAACACUCAACACACCCCCCAACCAGCUUAUUGCUAGUCCCUAGCAAAUAAAGCGAAAACAAAAUUCAAAUUCAAAAUGAUUUUUUUUUUUUUUUUGAACUACUCGUGUUUAUUCAAUCAGAUUAAUGAUAGCAAUCAAAUAAAAGUAUAAGCAUUAUCUCCAGUCUAAAGCAACAUCACACCCACAUCAACCAUCCACAUGAAUUAGCCCAGUAGACUUUGUUAUAGCUACUUUCAAGAAUGACAUGUCAAACCCCAAAAUCUCACUUGAAGUAGUGACACUCUCACAAAGAAAUUAAAACCCAAUAAACAUAGUCACUCCAAUGAAUGGUAAUUGAGAGAGAAAAUAAUAAAGAAAUGAUAUCACAUGCUCUCACCAAGAUGAAAUAAAUAUGCCCUCAGCUUAGAAAUAAUGCGAUCUCAAGUCAAAUAAAAUGUUAGUCAACCCACUUUAUUUAUCUUUUUUUUUUAUUAUUAUUAUGCAUCACUACAUCUUUUUAGCCCAUAUAACUAGCUUCUACUUCAAACUAUAGUUCCCUAAAAUCAAGAAGGACUUUUAUUAGGACGUAACGUAGGCUAGGGAUAUGGCUAACAAAGAAAGGAAAUAAGGAAAACAAAGUGUAUGUUUGAAAAAAAUGCAGAAUUUUUUUUUUUUUUUUUUUUUUGGAACUUGCAAGGUGGAUUUCACCUAUUAUUGUUAUUUUUAUUCUUUUGAAACAACAACUUUUGUUUUUGUUUUUGUUUUUUUUGUUUUUUUUUUUUGCUUUUAUUUGGCAUAACUUCACUGAACAACAUAAUUAUUUACAUUUUCUCAAACAUAAAUAGGUGAUGGAACUUAAAAGACAUUGGGUAAUACUCCAAAUCGGAGUGGGUCAAGAUGAUAAGUUGACAAAGAAAAGGUUUUUGUUCUUUUUUUUUUUUUUUUUUUUUUUUUUUUUUUUAAGGCUCAAAAGGGGUAACUAUGGAUAUUUAAUAAAAGGGAUGGCUAGAAAGGCUCAAACGGAUCAAAGAUGGCCUUUCUAUCGUCUUUUAGGGCUCUAAAUAAUUAUCCAUAUCUACUAGUUAGAUGGGCCUCCCAAUGUAGCAACACACAUUUUUUUCUUUUUUCUUUUUUUUUUUAAUUUUACCAUAUUUUUUUUUUUUUAAAAGGGUUAACUUAAAAGAAAUCUAGAGAUCGUGUAUAAAAUAAUAAACUGCUAAGCUGUAUAGAGAAUGGGUAAAAGGGUUACUCUCCAAGAAAAUGAUAGGCUCAACUACUCACUUGGCACUUAUUUAUGACAUGUUCAUUCCUUCAAGCAACUCAUAUUUGUCUCCGACAUCAACAUGUAAAGUAGCAAACAUAGCGUAACAUCACUUAAGACCAAAGAUAAUACAAAUACUAAAAUUUGAAAUUAGUCAUGUCAUCCAAUGUUAAAACAAAUAACACAAUUUUUUUUAAACAACAUUCUACCCCCCAACCUAUUCUAAACAUGAAAGGAAAAUAUGCAUGCAGAAAUGUGAAAAUGAUGUAGAAAAAUUAAUUAGAAAAAGAAUUUUUUUUUUUUUUUUUAAACUAAGAAGAUGCGUUUCUAGAGGCACUACACUCCAUAUUCAGCCAUCUUCGACUCAAAAAUUUGAAACUACAUAUUUAUAAAGGAGAAAGAGGAAGAAAACAGGUUUUUUUUUUUUUUUUUUUUAAAACGAUGAAGAUGCGUUUCUAGAGUAACUACACUCCAUAUUCAGCCAUCUUCAACAUAAAAUGUUAGCAACAGUUAGUUUCUACAACAAAAAAUCAGUAAAAACUUAACCAAGAUUCCACAAUUGUCGACUAUUCCCUUCCCCCAACUAGAACGAAACAUUGUCCUCAAUGUUUUAAAGGAAAGAAGUAGAGUUUAGAAGACAUCACCUGGGUGGUGCAACACAGAAGAAAAUAUUUACAAGCGGAGAGUUAAAUCUAAUUUGUACUUCUUACUGCGGCUACUGUUACCAUCAUUAUUUGGUCGCUCCAACACAAAGGUCCAGGGGUCUGGCUCCGGUUUAUAAGCUUGUAACAUAUCAAGUAGCUCAUUAGCAGUGUGAGCACAAAUAAAGAGUUUUUUCACAUUAGAAGGAAUGAAAUAGUUUUUUAUUGCAUGGUUAAGAAAUGCGAUAAAGUCAUCAUAAAAGUUAUUGACAUUUAACAAACCGAUAGGUUUCUGGUGGAUGUGCAGAUGGGCCCAAGAUGCUAGUGUCAUAAGUGCCUCUAGUGUUGCAAGAUCUCCUGGAAGGAAAAUAAAAGCAUCAGCAUGAUUAAGCAUUUCAGUUAUUCUUUCUUGCAUACCUGAGACGACUAACUCUUCUCCAGUUGAUGAGUCAGACGAACUGCCCAAUGGUUUUAGGACUCUUGGGAUGAUGCCUAACACUUGACUUCCUCUGAUAAAAGCUGCUUCUGAGACCAUUUUUGAUAACCCUCGGUUACCUCCUCCAUACACCAAAUGUAAUUUUCUCGCUGCUAUGCUUCGACCAAGAUCUAUGGCUGCCUCAACGAACUCUUUAUGUUUGCCAUAGGUAAAUCCAGAAAGCACACAAAUGUUCUUGAAUUGUCUAUUGGGAGUAGCGGCCAUUGUGAUACUUCUCAAAAAUAAUUUGUGAGUGCUUGACAAAAAAUAGAUCACAUUUAAGAAUCUUGGUGACAGUGGAUCACAGCUGUGAAUGAGGUAACAUGUCAGUGUGAAAUAACGCGUGAAGCACAUGGCUUGCGAGUCAAAAAGGAAACAGUAAAAAGGAAAAAGCAAACAGUAAUAAAAUUAUUAAAGACAAUAAUGCAAACAAUAAAACAACAGUGAAAUGAAAUAAAAUAACAGUAAAGUAAAAUGAUAUUUACACGUAGUUGCGACUGUGGCUCACAUCUUCCUCUGGUUUUACGUCCAGAAACGGCUUGAACGCCCUCUAUGGGUCGAGGAUGGGCUUCCCAUCCAGUUUUCUUAUAAACUGGCAAACAGGGUCGUUUAUAGUCAGAUUCCCGAGACUAUAUCGUGCAUGCUCUUUCUGGAAUAAUGGCCAUAACCGGAGAAUCGCUCCUUGCACAUAUCCACUGGGAUGCGUUUCAAGAGACAAAAGGAUAUCAUCCAAUGACUCCUUAUUCAAGCCAUCCCUAAUGAAUUGAAUCUUAUCUUCCCUGUUAUCAGACACCAUUCCUAAAGAACAUGGGUUUCUAUCGCAACUCAUUCUGGCACACUUAUGACAAGCAACAGAAAUUCUUCGAGCUCGUCGUUUUCUUGCAUAAUUGCCUUUACCACAACCAGGCAUGUAUGCAAUAAAUUUAUGAGGUAACUCACCUGCCAAUCGUACUUUAGCCUCGAUUAACCAACGGAUGUCUGCAGGUAUGUUAUUCCUCAUGAGCAAUCGCAUGCGUUCAGACCGGGCUUUAUAGAUUGUAAGGAGGGCAUUCUGAGGAAGUGAAGGGAAUCGCUUGUGAAGCUUUGCUAAAAUCUCGUUUCUAUCCAUACCUUCGCCUCAGAAUAUCAGUUAUUAUGGGAAACUGAAGUUAACCGACUUGAUUGUCACGGAGUACCGUUAUCCGCCACUUCACCGGGGUAACAAACUAAAGCACACAAACAGAAAAACAAAUUAAAACACACAAAGAAAAUUAAAAUCGUCCUCUUAUUGAAUUUACCUCAAGCUCCAACUGGAUGUCGUAAACACUUCUCUCAAUGUCUCUGAGUUGGCGUUCUAAACCCUCAACAUAGGCUACUAACUCUGGUGGUUGUAGAGCCCAAAUGCGUUGUGUUUUACAAAAUAGAAUCUGCCUUUUGAGAUGAGUUUUGACACGUUGAAGUGGUUUAAGAAUGUUCAGGAGGAACGGUCUAAGUAUGAGACUCAUGAUUAAAAAUGAUAAGAGAAAACUUAAUUGUUAAACAAACACACUUAUGCAAAAAUAAUUUCAAUUAGCAAAAGAAUAAUAAAAAGAAAGAAAGAAAAAUCAAAUCAAUAAAAAGAGAAAAAAAAAAUUAAUUCAAAUCUGGUGGGUCACUCAAAUUUAUUUCGGUGUCUUCUUCAUGUGGUUGGUACUCUAGAUAUGGCUUUAAUCUUUGACCAUUAACUUUAAACGUGACACCGUUCUUUGGGUCUUUAAUUUCAAUUGCCCCAUGUGGAAAAACAGUAUGAACAAUAAAGGGACCAGACCAUCGAGAGCGUAACUUACCUGGGAAUAGGUGCAAGCGAGAAUUGAAUAAAAGCACUUUCUGACCUGGAGUGAACGAUUUUCUCAUAAUUUGCUUAUCAUGGAAGACUUUCAUUCGUUGCUUGUAAAUCUUGGCAUUUUCGUAUGCAUCAUUGCGAAUUUCUUCAAGUUCUGCCAGCUGUAAUCUUCUUUCUGAGCUGGCUUGCUGCAUGUCAAAGUUGAAUUUCUUGAUGGCCCAAUAUGCACGAUGCUCGAGUUCCACAGGUAGGUGGCAAGCUUUUCCAUACACUAGCCUGUAGGGUGACAUCCCAAUCGGGGUCUUGAAAGCCGUUCUAUAUGCCCAUAAUGCAUCAUCAAGUCGUAAUGACCAAUCUUUUCUGUCUGGCCUCACCGUUUUUUCUAAUAUGUGCUUGAUUUCUCGAUUGGAGAUCUCAACUUGGCCACUGGUUUGCGGAUGAUACGGGGUCGCCACUUUGUGUGUGAUUGAAUACUUUGUCAAAAGAGCUUUGAAUGUUUUGUUACAAAAGUGGGCACCACCAUCACUGAUUAUCGCUCGAGGGAAUCCAAAGCGUGAAACAAUGUUGCUUUUCAAAAAUCCUAUCACCACUUUGUGAUCAUUGGUUCUGCAUGGAAUUGCUUCCACCCAUUUCGAUACGUAGUCAACACCAACCAAUAUGUAUUGAUGGCCAAAAGAAGGGGGAAAGGGUCCCAUGAAGUCGAUACCCCAUACGUCAAAAAUCUCAACCACUAAAAUUGGAUUUAGUGGCAUCAUGUUCCUUCGUGUAAUGCUCCCCAUUCGUUGACACCUAUCACAUGAAGAACAGAAAGUGUAAGCGUCUCGAAAUAUAGUUGGCCAAUAGAAACCACAUUGUAAAACUUUUGUAGCUGUUUUCUUAGCACUAAAAUGGCCUCCACACGCUUGUUCAUGGCAGAAUGAAAGGAUAUUUUGAAUUUCACUUUCUGGGACACAUCGCCUAACAAUUUGAUCUGCACAAUACUUGAACAAAUACGGGUCAUCCCAAAAGAAAUUCUUUAUUUCCGCAAAGAAUUUAGCCUUGUCUUGCUUGGUCCAAUGCUCUGGAAGUUUACCUGUAACAAGAUAAUUAACUAUAUCAGCAUACCAAGGUAAUACUUCCACAUUCAUUAAUUGUUCAUCUGGAAAUGACUCAUUCAAUAUUAAUGGAUCUGUAAUUGUGUCAAAAUGGAGACGAGAGAGGUGGUCCGCCACAACAUUUUCUGUGCCUUUCUUAUCCUUGAAUUCCAAGUCGAAUUCCUGCAAAAGUAACACCCAACGAAUUAGUCUAGCUUUUGCAUCUUUCUUUGUGAGAAGAUAUUUAAGAGCAGCAUGAUCUGUGAAUAUAAUUAUUUUACAACCAAUGAGAUAAGAUCGAAAUUUCUCUAAUGCAAACACUACUGCUAGCAUUUCUUUUUCAGUAGUUGAAUAAUUCAACUGUGCAUCAUUCAAUGUCAUACUAGCAUAGUAAAUAACGUGGGGAAUUCGAUCAACUCUUUGUCCUAAUACUGCUCCUACUGUAUAAUCAGAUGCAUCACACAUGAGCUCAAAUGGUAAGUUCCAGUUUGGGGCCUGAAUGAUGGGUGAUGAUGUCAACAACUGCUUUAAUUUUUCAAACGCCAUGAGACAUGAAUCAUUAAAGAUAAAAGGUACAUCCUUAGCAAGUAAAUUGCAUAAGGGUCUAGAAACUUUGCUAAAAUCUUUAAUGAAACGUCUAUAAAAACCAGCAUGUCCAAGGAAAGAUCUUACUUCUCUGACUGUUUUAGGUGGAGGAAGAUUAGAAAUGAGAUCCACCUUGGCUUUGUCAACCUCAAUACCUUUGCUCGAAAUGAUGUGACCGAGAACAAUACCUUGUUUUACCAUAAAAUGGCACUUCUCCCAAUUCAAGACUAAGUUCUUCUCGGUACAUCUCUGCAGAACUAGCGUUAGAUGAUGUAAACAUUGAUCAAACGAGUCACCAAAGAUAGAAAAAUCAUCCAUAAAGACUUCAAGGAAUCGUUCAACCAUAUCAGAAAAAAUGCUCAACAUGCAUCGUUGGAAUGUAGCAGGUGCAUUACAUAAUCCAAAUGGCAUUCUCCUAUAUGCAAAAGUGCCAAAAGGGCAAGUGAAAGUAGUUUUCUCCUGAUCUUUUGGUGCUAUGGGAAUCUGAUUAUAUCCUGAGUAGCCAUCUAGAAAGCAAUAAAAUUCAUGGCCUGCUAAUCUAUCAAGCAUUUGAUCAAUAAAUGGUAAAGGAAAAUGGUCUUUACGUGUGACAGAAUUCAACUUUCUAUAAUCAAUGCAUACACGCCAUCCUGUAGUUACUCUAGUUGGUAUCAAUUCAUUAUCAGCAUUGGUAACUACUGUGACUCCUGACUUUUUGGGGACGACUUGUACAGGACUGACCCAUGAACUAUCAGAAAUUGGGUAAAUGAUACCUGCAUCUAAUAGCUUAAGGACUUCAGUUCUAACAACUUCUUUCAUGUUAGGAUUUAACCGACGUUGCAUCUCCCUAGUAGUUUUAGCAUUUUCAUCAAGGUGAAUGUAAUGCAUGCAGUCUACUGGAUUUAUACCUUUUAUGUCUGCUAUGGUCCAUCCUAAUGCCCCUUUGUGCUCUUUUAACACAUCCAACAACUUACCUUUUUGUUCGUCAUUUAGGGAUGAUGAGAUGAUUACCGGUAGAGUGCUUUCUUCUCCCAAAAACGCAUAUUCCAAUGUGUUGGGCAAUUGUUUGAGCUCGAGUUUUGGUGGUGAUUCUGAUGAUGGGAUGAGUUUCUUUUCUGACGGUGCUAGUUGUUCUACUCUUGACUUCCAUUUAUUAGUGUCCAUGGAUGGUGCUGAGUCAAGUAGGGCGUUGACCUCUUCGACCGAUCUAUCAAUAUCAAAAUCCAAACCAAAGUGAGUUAAGCAUGUUUGUAAAGGAUCAUCACUAAGGUUUGAAAGAAAAGUAUUAUCAACUAUUGUUUCUAUUAAAUCCACAUCAACAAUUCCAUCAUCUGCACUGUGAGGUUGUUUGGCAAUGUUAAAGAUGUUUAGCUCCAUAGUCAUGUUGCCGAAGGACAAUUGCAUAUUUCCGGUCCUACAUUGAAUAUGAGCAUCUGCAGUUGCCAAGAAAGGUCGGCCUAGAAUAAUGGGGAUGUGCUUCCUUGAGUCCUGUAUUGGUUGAGUGUCAAUUACAAUGAAAUCAACAGGAAAAUAAAACUUGUCUACCUGGAUAAGCACGUCCUCCACAAUACCACGAGGUAUUUUUGUGGACCGAUCUGCAAGUUGUAACACCACUGGAGUUGGGUGUAAUUCUCCCAGUCCAAGUUUCACGAAUACAGAGUAAGGUAACAAAUUUACACUAGCUCCUAAAUCCAACAAAGCAUUCUCAAUUGUGUGGUUCCCUAUACUACAUGAGAUAGUGGGGGAGCCUGGGUCUUUGCAUUUUAAAGGAAUUUUAUGUUGGAGUAUAGAACUAACGUUUUCUGUUAAAAAUGCCUUCUUUUGAACAUGCAUAUUUCUCUUUUUAGUACAAAGGUCUUUAAGAAACUUGGCAUAAGAUGGAAUUUGUUUUAUAGCAUCAAGCAAAGGGAUAUUGACACUUACCUGUUUGAAGAUUUCGAGAAUCUCACCUGUGGAUUUUCCCUUCUUGCCUUUAGCUAACCUCUGAGGAAAUGGAGCUUUCGGAAUAUAUUCUCGUGGGUUGGUUUCUUCUCUCUCCUCCGGUGGUGAGUCCUCAGCAUUUACAGGUACAAUUUGAUUUUCUUUUGUCACCUGCAUCUCCACUUUAUUGUCGACUUCUUUUCUUUUUCUCAAGGUCAUUACUGCUUUGACCUCUCCAUGCUGCUGUGGUGAACUGGUACUUGCUUCAUGCACUCCUUUAGGAUUAGGCACUGGUUGACUCGGAAACUUGCCUUUCUCAACAGUCAUUGCCAAGGUCUGAACUGAAGAAGCAAGCUGUCCCACCAUCUUCUCGAGGCUUGAAACUGAUUGGGCUUGUGAAUUGAAGCCCGCUCUCAACUCAUUUCGUAGUCCAUCAAUGGUGCGAUUCUGUUGCUCAAUCGUGGAGUGAGUAACAUUCUUGAAAUUCUGGAAUGCAUCCUCCCAUGGUCUGGGUUGAGAGUAGUUCUGGUUUUGAUUGUAUGGUCUAAAUGGUGGCUGAGAGGCUUGAGGAUUUUGAGGAAUUGGUUGCAUUGGUGGAGCUGGAGCUGCUGGUCCAUUCUGUUGAAAUCCUUGAGACCAUGAAAAAUUGGGGUGGUCUCUCCAUCCAGGAUUAUAUGUGUUGGAGUAUGGGUUGUAAUUAGAUGGCUUUCUCAUUACACCUAUGGCAUUGGCUUGAUCGGAGUAUGAGUCAUGGUCAUGUGGUUCUGUUGAUUUAGCAGUCGAUAACGAUGCUAUUUGUCGAGCAAGACCUUCAACCAUCUCCUUGACUUCUUUGAUUCCCGAAGUUGACUCGCCAAUGUGAACCUCAUUCACUCCUUUAAUCCUUCUAGUAUUCCUGAGUGAUCGACUCCGUUGUUGGGAAUUAUCCGCUUGUCGCUGGAAGAAUUCCCAAAUCUCUGUUGCGCUUUUUGACAUUAGCUCUCCUCCACUUGUUGCCAUUAGCCAUUCUUGCACAUUCGGCAAUAAUCCCUCCAAAAAGUAUUGGCAUUGGUGCCAUUUUUCGUACCCAUGAUGUGGACACUUCAAGAGUAGUCCAUUGAAUCGCUCCCAAGUUUCGAAAAACUGCUCGUCCUCUCUUUGUGUAAACUCUGAAAUUUCCCUGCGAAUAGAAUUGGUUUUAUGCACUGGGAAAUAUUUAUUUAGAAAUUUUGUUACCAUUUGUUCCCAUGAUGAAAUGCUAUUGGCAGGCAAUGUAUUAAGCCAUGAACGAGCUCUAUCCUUUAAAGAAAAUGGGAAUAGUCUAAGUUUUACAUCAUCAUCUGAAAAAUUUUCAUAUUUAAAAGUUUGACAAAUAGCAUGAAAAUCAUUCAAAUGAUUAUAUGGGUCCUCAUUUUCUAGGCCAUAAAAUGUGGGGAGACAAUUUAGCACACUAGGUUUUAAUUCAAAACUCCUAGCAGCUACAUUUGGGUAUCUUAUGCAUGAUGUGCUCAAAUUAGCUAAGGGACUAAAAUAGUCCUUAAAUGGCCUCUCCUGUGGUGCUUGUAAAUCCAUUUUAUUUUUAACGUGUUUGUGUGUGCGAAGUGUUUUUUCUAAUUCAAGGUCUAUAGGUUCAAUAUUAGGUAAUAAUGACCUACGACCAUGCAUGCAAAAUAAAUAAAAUAAAAAUAAAGAUGCAAACAAAACAAAAAAUAAAGAUGGGAACAAAACAAAUAAAAAAUAAAGAUGAGAACAAAACAAAUAAAAAUAAAGAAGAGGGAGAAAUUACGAUACUAACCUCAUUGCGCUAUUACAACCUUACUAUAAAAAUACACAAAAAUAAAUACGUGAAAUAAAUUAACUAAAAAUUAAAUUAAUAAGAUAAACAAAAAUUACAAAGAAAAAAUAAAUUGAAAAUUAAAUUACAGAAUUUUAAAGAAGAGAAAAAGAAAAGAAAUACUAACCUUUAAAUGUAGAUUUACUCUUUUUUUUUAAAGAACAAAAAAAAAAAAAAAAUACAAGAAAACAAUUUAAAAUAAAUUAUUCACAAAAAUUAAUUCUAUGAAUUAAAACUACUUACCUCCCCGGCAACGGCGCCAAAAACUUGUUGUGCAAAUUUUAAUGUACUCGCAAGCGCACGAAUCUAUUGUAGUAUAGAUCAAUGGUGACGAGUGUCGAUCCCACGAGGAGGUGGAUUUUAAUUGUGUAUAGAAUUAAUUUUGUAAAUGGGUGGUUGGAUCUGUGGUGGAAAUGAAUUGGAAUAUGCUAAAACUUAAAUUAAAAUGGCGAGAAUAAAUUCUAAAAUUGGAAUUGCAAUGGCGAGAAUAAAUUGAAGAGAAAUGUAUUGAAAUGACGUACUUGGGUAUCUGGAUCCGUAUCAACAUGCAUCAUGGGCUAAAUAAUCCGUAUUAAUGCCAAUUAAAUCAUGAGGGGGGAAUCCACACCUCAUGAACCACGCUCUAAUCAAUAUGGUGCUAAGGGCUUAUCGUGCCAAAUAAUAAUAACCUUAUACUAGAGAGCCGGUGUAACCAAGGCGGUAUCUAGACAAGAUCAGUAUUAUUUGUCGACGAUAAGUCAAAUCAUCCACAAAAACUAGAGGGGAAAAGAAAAUAAAUUUACCAAAUAAAGCCCAUGACACAUGUUGAGACUUCACCUUCAACCCAAGCUUGAAAGGAAAUUAGCUACUCAUAAUUGAACUAGGGGCAAAAUGAAAAUUUAUUAAAAUACGAAGAAAAUACAAGAUGGAGAAGGAAUUACAGAAAAUGGAUCCCAAAAAUGGAUUCAGAGAUAUCAAAUUAGGGGGGGGAGGCCCCUUUUUUAUAGAUACAUGGAGUAAAUCAUGGCCAUCGGAUUAAAAACAGUUUGGACGCUCAGGAUUGCGCCACGUCAUCAGUCAACAGUCCACGGUUUGACCACGCGGAUGAACAGUAACACGGUUUGACCACGCGGAUGAACAGUAACGCGGUUUGGUUGAAAAUAAUCCUGUGUGAUGCAUGCACCGUACGCGAGAUUUUUCGUCCACUGAUAUGCUGCCACGUCACCAUCAACAGUACAUAAGAAUUUUAGUCCAACAGGAUCGUGACACCUCAUCAGUCAAUGCCACAUCAUCGGUCAAUGCCACGUCAUCGAUCCGUCUAUGUGAACAGUGUCGUGAACAGUAACGUAGACAGUACCGUAUACGUGAAUAGUACCGUACAUGUGAAUAGUGCCAUUUUUCUUUUUAUGCCCCUCCUAAGGUUUUCGACCGUCCUGAGUUCAAAAGUGAUGUCCGUUUUGCCAUCUGAUCUCUCCUUUAUUGUGAAAUAACUAUAAUGCCCCUAAAAUACAUAAAAUACUUAAUUAAAAUAAAACACAUGUAAUUAAAUCACAAGAAGGUUAAAUACAUAAAAGUAAGGGUUGUUAAUAAGACUUGAAAUGUAAAAUGACGGUUUUCUCCUUUAUAAAUAUGCAUUUUCUAACACUCAACACUAGUGAGGUUCCAUUUAGGUGUAUUGGGGUUGUGGGUUUUGUGAGUUUUUUCCACUUUUGUAAAUUCUCAUUAUUAGUAAAAUUAUCUUCCAAUCUUUGCCCGUGGACGUAGGCAUUAUGCCGAACCACGUAAAUUAUUGUGUUUAUAUUUUCUUUGUAUUUGUUUGGCACAUUUAUAUUUCUCCAAAAGUUACAUUCAUCGUAAUAUUGGUAAUUGCUCAACCUCGCACUUCCGCAACAAUUGGUAUCAGAGCAGAAGGUUCGUGCUUGGGGCAUACAACAUUGUUCACGUAUACGGAACUGUUCACAAAUACGGUAUUGUUCACGUAUACGGUAUUGUUCAUUGAUAUGGUGGAGAUGGUCAUUUAUACUUGGGAGACAGUCUAUUGAAAGUAGUGUGUAUUUUUUCAUGUCUAGGAAAGUCCUGUCAACAAGGCGAUAAAAGCUUAAGGAGUCUGGUUUUAAGUGGGACCGUUGUGACCCCUCCAUUCUCCUAGGAACUUUCCUGGUGCAUUUAUUCAUGCGAAAUAAAUAUCAUAGAGGCUAUUUUUCAAGUGUAAAUAGUUGUUGAAGAAACUGAUCAUUUGAGAUAAAAAUGAUGGCAGAGGCAUCGUCGUCGUCGUCGUCUUCAUCAGCAAGGACUACUGUGACUAAUGCAAAGUUUGAAGUGGAGAAAUUCAAUGAUACCAAUAAUUUUGGUAUGUGGCAAUGUGAGGUGUUGGAUGUCUUAUGUCAGUAAGAGUUGGACGUUACUCUUAAAGAAAAGCCUGACAUAAUGGAUGACAAGGAGUGGAUAAAGAUCAAUAAACAGGUAUGUGGUACUAUUCGCCUAUGUUUGGCUAAAGAUCAUAAAUACUUUGUUAUAAAGGAGACAUCGGCAAAGAAAUUGUAGGAGACAUUGGAAGAAAAAUAUAUGAAGAAAAGUAUAUAAAGAAAAGCCUUAAAAAUAAGCUUUAUAUGAAGAAGAAACUUUAUCUAUUCACAUAUACACCUGGCAUGUCGAUGAAUGACCAUGUAAAUUCAUUCAACAAAAUAUUGGCAGAUUCACUAAAUUUGGAUGAGAAAUUUGAAGAUGAAGAUAAGACACUGUUGUUUUUUAAUUCCCUUCCUGAUGAAUAUGAUCAUCUCACUACCAAUUUGCUUCAUGGGAAGGGCAGUGUCACAUUCGAUGUUGUAUGCAGUGCAUUGUAUAACUCUAAGAUCAGAAAGAAAGAUAGAAAAGAUCACAGAGAUACAGUUGUAGAAGCAUUAACAACUAAAAGUCGUUCACAAGGCUGUAAACUUGGAAAAAGAAGCAAGUCUAAAGGGAGACCUGCCAAAGAUGAGUGUGUUUUUUGUCGCGAGAAAGGACAUUGGAAAAAGAAUUAUCCUAAGUUACAAAAGGAUAAGGCUUCUUCUUAUGCAUGUGUAGCAGAGUAUGAUGAGGAGUCAGACUUUAGUCUGGUUGGCAUGACGUUGACAUGUUACUUAGAUGAGUGGUUUUUGUAUUCGAGUUGUGCUUAUCAUAUGUGUCCUAACAAGGGUUGGUUUUCUAACUUCAAGGAGCUGGACGGUGGAAUUGUUUUUAUGGGCAAUGACAAUGCCUGUAAAACCUUGGAAAUAGGUACAAUUCAAUUAAAAAAUCGUGACGGUUCAAUCAAAGUCUUGACGGAUGUUCACUACAUACCAAGUUUAAAGAAAAAUCUCAUCUCAUUAGGAGUCCUAGAAUCUAAAGGGCUCACAAUCACUCUGAGAGAUAGAUUAUUAAAGGUAGUAGCUGGCACACUAACGGUGAUGAAAGACACAAGAAGAAAUAACUUGUACUAUUUUCAAUGGAAUACAAUUAUUAGAUCAGCAUCAACAGUUUUUGGAAGAGAUGCAGAUUCAGAAGCAACCAAGUUGUGGCAUAUGCGUUUGGGACAUGCUGGUGAAAAAUCUUUACAGACUCUAGUGAAGCAAGGCUUAUUGAAAGGUGCAAAUUCUUACAAAUUAGAAUUUUGUGAACAUUGUGUUUUAGGCAAGCAGACAAUGGUAAUGUUUAGUUCAAUAAUUCACGAUACAAACUUCCUCGGGGGAGCAUUAAAACCUUCGAGCAGAUGUGCCAGGAAUUUGCAGAGCAGUUUCGUGGGGCAAUGGCACCAGAAGAUGCCAUGAUGGAAUUGAAAAACAUGAAGCAGGGGGAAUAAUAAACACUUCGGGAAUUCAUCAAGAGGUUUUACCAUGUUGUCCUUGAUUUGGGAGCCUUCAACCAUCCUCAGGCAUUAAGGGGACUGAAAGAAUGGGUGAAGAUAGGAAGACUGUGGUACAACUUGAGAAGCCCAGUUAUUCAGACGUACGCCGCCGCAUACAAGCAGGCUAAGAGGGACAUUGAGAUUGAAGUGGAAAAGGCAGCACGGAUCAAGACAGACCAGUUAGAUGGGUUGGGGAAGAAAGAGAAGAAAGCAUUGCCAGGGAACGGGCCGAUCAGGAGGAGAGACCUUCAGGCCUCAAGUAGUGGAGCAGGAGAUCGGGUAACUACUGGCCAUCCUCAUCAGAGGCCACCACAGUAUCGGCGCAGCAGGGCGCAACCUCCUCGUUCCCCAGCUAGGGAGCCUUGGAGAAGCCAUGACUCGGCAUAUGGUGGUCUUCAUCAACACUCCCACGGUAGUAGGGGGCAGACCAGAAGUGCUGCCACCGCCUCCAACUCAGAACGGAGCAAAUAGAGAAAAAGCAGUGCACCUGAUCGACCAGAACCAGGACUAUGGGCAGUACACUUCCUUAAAGAUGUUCCUGGACGAGGUGUACGAGGCCAUAAAGGAUCGAGGGUUGCUAUACCUCCCUGCCUCAAUAACAAAACUACCCAGCAGGAGGGAUAAGGGACGCUAUUGUAAGUUCUAUGGCGCGCAUGGCCGUACUACAACAGAAUGUAGAGAUCUAAAGACCCAGGUCGAAGAUUUGGUGAGAAAUCGAUACCUGGACGAGUUUAUAGAGGGGACUUUCCCGAUGGUGGCCUCGACAUGCGAGGGGGAGCAGAGUGGCAGAAAUUUGAGGCACGAGUAGCCUACAGUAAGGGUGAUUGCUGGGGGCCCGACAUUGGCUGGAGAUUCCAACAGAUCUAGGAAGAACUAUGCUAGAUACGCCAUGACUAGUAAAGAGGUAUUCUUCAACACCCCGGCAGCCAAACGAGCAAGAGUCAGGCAAGUGCCAAUCAUGUGGACAGACGAGGAUGAAAAAGGGAUUUUAUACCCACACGAGGAUGCCUUAGUCAUCAAGGCCACUGUUGCUAGCAGGAAGUUUGACCGGAUACUAGUCGAUAUAGGAAGCUCGGUUGAUGUGUUGUUCAAGUCCACUCUAGAGGAGAUGAGAAUAGCAGACCUGAGGUUGGAGCACACCAACACCUCCUUGAAGGGAUUUGGAGGAGGAAAGCUGGUCCCCCUGGGUGUGGUCGAGCUGCCUAUCACAAUCGGAAGCUCCCCGACAGAAAGGACUAUGAUACUAGAUUUUGUGGUGGUUGAUGAAGAGGGUCCUUACCAGAUAAUCCUAGGUCGGCUGUUUCUGAGGAUGAGUAAAGCAGUACUGUCCAACCAUUAUCUUGCUCUCAAGUACCGGGUGAAUGGGGUAGUUGGAGUGGUACGAGGAGACCAGAGAAUCGCACGAAGCUGUUACUCCUCGGCAGCAAAGGAAUCGAUACAGAUAACAUCCCUUGAUACCCGAGUGAAAGCCAGGAAUGGCAACUUAUUGGACUCGGAGUUUACAAGCUGGUUCGCAAGGACGGCCACGAGGUGAAAUGCCCAUGGAACGCAGCACACCUCCGAAAAUACUUCCAGUAAGACUUGUUCACAUUUGAAAGCUAUUUCUGCUCGUGUUCAUUAUCGUUUAUCUUUUAUGUUUUAUAUCCAAACAAUUUCAUGUAAGUCGAAUCCUGCCAUUAAUGGAACGUCGAGGAAUUUCAUUCGCUUGAAACUGUGAAAAUUUCCUAAGGCAUGCAAAGGCUCGUCAAGUCUCAAAGCCUGUUUAUGGCGAGACCAGAAGCCAAGCGUGCCAGGAUCUGCUCGGCCACGAGAAGGCGAGCAGAAUCCCAAGCUUUGAAGAAAUUACCUAAGGCAUGCAAAGGCUCGACAAAGUCUCAAAGCCUGUUUAUGGCGAGACCAGAAGCCAAGCGUGCCAGGAUGUGCUCGGCCACGAGAAGGCGAGCAGAAUCCCAAGCGUUGAAGAAAUUACCUAAGGCAUGCAAAGGCUCGUCAAGUCUCAAAGCCUGUUUAUGGCGAGACCAGAAGCCAAGCGUGCCAGGAUCUGUUCGGCCACGAGAAGGCGAGCAGAAUCCCAAGCGUUGAAGAAAUUACCUAAGGCAUGCAAAGGCUCGUCAAGUCUCAAAGCCUGUUUAUGGCGAGACCAGAAGCCAAGCGUGCCAGGAUCUGUUCGGCCACGAGAAGGCGAGCAGAAUCCCAAGCUUUGAAGAAAUUGCCUAAGGCAUGCAAAGGCUCGACAAAGUCUCAAAGCCUGUUUAUGGUGAGACCAGAAGCCAAGCGUGCCAGGAUCUGCUCGGCCACGAGAAGGCGAGCAGAAUCCCAAGCUUUGAAGAAAUUAUCUAAGGCAUGCAAAGGCUCGACAAAGUCUCAAAGCCUGUUUAUGGCGAGACCAGAAGCCAAGCGUGCCAGGAUCUGCUCGGCCACGAGAAGGCGAGCCGAAUCCCAAGCUUUGAAGAAAUUGCCUAAGGCAUGCAAAGGCUCGACAAAGUCUCAAAGCCUGUUUAUGGCGAGACCAGAAGCCAAGCGUGCUAGGAUGUGCUCGGCCACGAGAAGGCGAGCAGAAUCCCAAGCUUUGAAGAAAUUACCUUAGGCAUGCAAGGGCUCGACCAAGUCUCAAAGCCUGUUUAUGGCGAGAUCAGAAGCCAAGCGUGUCAGGAUCUGCUCGACCACGAGAAGGAGAACAGAAUCCCAAUCAUUGCAGAGAUUACCUAAGGCAUGCAAAGGCUCAUCAAGUCUCAAAGCCUGUUUUAUGGCGAGACAGAAGCCAAGCGUGCCAGGAUCUGCUCAACCACGAAAAGGUGAGCAGAAUCCCAAUCCUUGAAGAAUUGAAGGCAUGCAAAGGCUCGUCAAGUCUCAAAACCUGUUUAUGGCGAGACCAGAAGCCAAGCGUGCCAGGAUCUACUCGACCACGAGAAGGCGAGCAGACUCCAAAGCAUUCGAAAAAAUUCCUAAGGCAUGCAAAGACUCACCAAGUCUCAAAGCCUGUUUUAUGGCGAGACAGAAGCCAAGCGUGCCAGGAUGUGCUCGACCACGAGAAGGCGAGCAGACUCCGAAGCAUUCGAAAAAAAUUCCUAAGGCAUGCAAAGGCUCACCAAGUCUUAAAGCCUAUUUUAUGGCGAGACAGAAGCCAAGCGUGCCAGGAUCUGCUCAACCACGAGAAGGCGAGCAGACUCCGAAGCAUUCGAAAAAAUUCCUAAGGCAUGCAAAGGCUCACCAAGUCUCAAAGCCUGUUUUAUGGCGAGACAGAAGCCAAGCGUACCAGGAUCUGCUCGACAACUAGAAGGCGAGCAGACUCCGAAGCAUUUGAAAAAAUUCCUAAGGCAUGCAAAGGCUCACCAAGUCUCAAAGCCUGUUUUAUGGCGAGACUAGGAGCCAAGCAUGCUAGGGUCUGCUCGACCACGCGAAGGCGAGCAGAAUCCCAAGCAUUGAAGAAUUUUCAAAGGCAUGUGGCAAAACCAUGUGCCAAGCCAGAACCUGCUCGACCAGACAAAGACGAGCCGAUUCUCAAACGAAAAAUAACUCAUGAUUACGACACAAGAAAGUAAUCAAAAAUAUUUUUAUUAAUUUGUUAAUAAUUAACAGAGGAGAUAAUCUUCACAAACAUUGUUCAUUACAAUACAAGAAACAUAUUUAAGAAGAUGGUGGGUCCGCAAGCCGAGCAUCCUCAGUUAGAUGGUCCACCUCAGGUGCUGGGGGAGUAUCUCCAGUUGCGUCUGGGGGGGUACUCGCCUCACCAGCAUCAGCAGGGAUUACACGGGGAGGAGAGUUUUCCUCUUCUAUCACCAUUGGUGCCACCUCUUCGGCAUCCUCCUUUGCAGCCUCCUCGUCCAUAUGUUGGGCGACACCAGCUGCAAGGUCGUCCAUCUUUAGAUCAGGAUGCUGCUUCCCGAGGACGGCCAUGAUGCAACGAUAAGAAUGCCGAAGUCCCUGGUCGUACUGGUUGUCGGCCUCCUUCUCCAAGUUCUCGACCUGACCUCGGUGGGAAUCGCGGAGGGAUUCGAGCUGAGCCUCAUACAUAGCCUUCUGCCUUUGAAGAUCCUCCUUGACCUUGGCCAGCUCUUCCUCGAGAGUAAUAGCCUUGGCUUGAGCAAGAGAUUCUCGCUCAAUCAACUUCAGAUUCUCGAGGUUUAAGUCCCCUGCUUUCUUCUCAGCAACAUCAGCUCUGGUCGUCGCCGACUGAAUGUCCUCCUUCAUCUUCCUAUCAUAACGGCCAACCUUGGCCUUAUAGUAGGUGGUCAUGCAGCUGAGAUGGAAAGCGCUAUACUGCAUGGCCCCCACCAGCUCGCCUAAGGUGUAGCCAUCAAAGUCCUCGAGGUCCUUCUUGCUCACGAUUUUGGAAAGCUCGUUGAGAUAGGGGGCCAAGUGUUCUGCUCGGCUGUCAGGUAAACGAGAUCUAUGCCCGACAAGAGGCGAAGAGGAAGCAGGAUCAGUGGCUGCUCCACUGGUCUCGUCGAGUUUGGCAGAAAGAAGAGGUAAAGUCUUCAAGGGAGAGACCUGCUGCACGAUGUUGGCCCGCUUUGCAGUAGGGGCAUCCUUGUUCUGGUCCCUCUUCGUGGUUUGGGGUCGAGAACGUUUCCUGUUUAGAGCCCCAAUCACGGCGUCCUCCAUCUUAUGACCAGGGAGUAUCAAGCGAGACUCGAGCAAGUUGUAUGUAGUUAUCAGCUCCCGGCUCGAGCAGGAAUUGGCUAGCACAGCCUCGACCCGUUUGAGCUGGCCAGGUUUGAGCGAGAAAUGAACACCCCAAGAAACUACAACACAAACAGACACUUGGUUAGAGACAAACCAACAAAGCGAGAACAAUUACGGAUACAAGACAUCUAAAGCGAACAGGCAACCUGGGACCGUGAAACGGGGUGGAACGCGAUAAUCCUUCCCGUCUAUUUGUGCAACUUGACCCCAAGGACCCCCAGCAAAAAAGAAUUUCCUCUUCUAAUUCCCACCACCACCAGUAGGGAGGUCGGUUAUGGGUUUCCUGGUCUUGGUACUAGAUUGAAAGUAGUACCAGCCGGCAUCUUUGGGGCUGCUCUUUAGCUGGUACAGGUGCUUCACCUCAUCAACUGUGGACUCGCUUUGGCAACAUCUGUCCCACAAUAUGAACAGACCAGAAAGUACUCUCCAACCAUUUGGGUUCAGCUGACCAGGAGAUAGAUUCAGCCCGUUAAGUAUCCGGGCAAAGUAAGGUUGCACGGGACACCUCAGCCCAUACUUAAAACUAUCCAGAUACAGGGUAACGUAUCCCCUAGGAGGCCGGCUAGGAGUAUCCUUCUUUCCUGGGACCUUAAGAGGGAUUUCACCAGGAAUACUAUACCUAAGCCGGAGGUCAUUGAGCUCAUCAAACGUGGUUAUGCAUGUCAUGUAAUCAAUAGCGUAAUCCCGCGAUAGGGCUCUACCUCCUAUUGUACUCCGCCCUUCUGGUCGCGACGCUCCUGAUGGGGACACCUCGCCAGAAUCAUCUCCUCGGCCCUCACUCAGGGUGUUCUCCGAGCCAGAAGACCCCUCUUCAUCACUAUCUCUGCUCGAGGAGGUCGUUUACGGAGACAUCCUCCUAGCGCUAGUGCCGACACUAGAUCUAAUGGGCUCUAAGGGGAUCCCGGGGUCAAAAGCAGGAUCAGUGAGCAGACUAGGCAGGAAGUCCAACUCAUCGUCGUCAACCUCAAUGACCUUCUCUUUACCUUUCGACAUUCCCUAAACUCUAACCACAACACCACCACCAACUACUACCCGAACAAAAGAGAACAAAAAUUAUCUACAACUAUCCGAGACCAAGGAGAUAGAAGAAAUACCUGAAGUAAUGGUUCAGUCGGUGAAAGACAGAGAUGGAGGCCUUUAUGCCGGAACUUCUUUGCCGGAGAGACAGGGACGGAGACAGAGGGAAUGAUGAAUUUGCUGUUUGAAAGGAUUUAGGUUUCCUAAUGGGGACGGCCUCUUGGGUUGCCAGCAUUUAACGGCACCAAAUCCCAAGGGCCUCGUAACCGUUGGUUUGAAAUUCGAAUAGAGGGGCAGAUUUCUGCCACAUCACCUCGUCCGCAAUUAAAUGCGAUAUGACUCUUGGCAGCCUUUUCCAGUCCCACGCGACCAAGAACCGCUAAGUUUCUACUGCUGGUCCAUUACAUUACCCAACACCAGAAACUGGGGGACCGGUGUUUGAGGGAAAUACUCUGACGAGACCAGACGUGAUGAGCAGAUGUUUGGUGGUAGAAGUCUGCGAGCAGGUGUGUCCUGUAAGAGCCAGGUAGCAGGGGAACAGGGGCAGGAAUAUCCUGCUCAUCCACGAGCACGUCAUCCGCGAGGCCAAUUUCCUGUAAGAAGCAUAAAGCCAUUCCUGCUGUAUUCUUGCUAAGGGUUGAUUCGAGGAGACCCGGUCAACGACAGUUGGCGAGGCAUGCUCUCCAGCCCGAGAAUCUAGGCACGAAGGCCACGCAACCACCCACGACUACGGAAAUGGGGAAUCCACGUUCGAGAGGUGGGAGGAUAACGGACGUAGACUGCGGAAAACUGGGAUUCAGAGGAAGCCUAUAAAAAUGUAGCCAACGAAGGUAAAAUGGUUAGCAAUUUUGAGAUUAGAAGGGAGAUAAAGAAAUUCUAAAGAAGAGAAAACUACCCAAAAGCCAUAAGAUCUGUGGCAAGCGUUCCCCGAACCUUCAUAUCUGACUUGAGCGUCGGAGGGUUUGCGUCGGGAAAACAACCGGCGUACUCUGACUUGUCUGUGUGCGCAGGAACCUCUGGAGAAGAAGCUUUACGAGGAGAGAUCCUGGUCGUGGUGAAGUUGAUCGAGCAGAGACCCUGGUCGUAGAACGAGGAGAACCAGAAUCUCGCAUCAACAAAACGUGUAUUUCAACCUGAGUACUAGCGAUUACCAGUGACUGAUUAACACUUGUUUUAAUUGUAUUCAGCAGUCAUAAAAAUUUACUUUUUCUUGUUAUUUAUUUAUACCACACAUUUUGACUACCACAAACUUAAGUUGCUUGGCUGACGUAUUUACCACAAAUAAAAACUAACAUUCGAGGUUUUUCUUUCGACAUUUCUAUAGAUGUUUUAACAUUUUAGAUUACAAUAUUUUUCAAAACUUGAUUUAGUCACUGAUUGUUGACUACGACGACGACAAAAAAUCUAUUUCGUUGUGAAAAGGAAUCCACAAGAGUACAAGACGGAGCCUUGAUCCAGUAAUAUUACGGAAAAUGGUAUUUUGUUUCCUUACAAAUGAAGAGAGGUUCUGUCUUUGCAGUGGGUAAGGUGAGGGUAUAGAACAUAUUAAUGGCUUUACUUAUCAUCAUCAACUUCCUUCUGUGUCUCUCAAUCUUUGUCUUCUUCUUUGUUUUGCAAAGGAACAUAACCUCAAGAAAUAAUACUAAAUUACCACCAGGCCUCCGGGGCCUUCCUUUCAUCGGUAACGUGCACCAGCUUGAUGUCUCAAAGCCUCACGUGUUAUUUUGGGAACUGUCAAAAAAAUAUGGCCCCCUCAUGUCCUUGCGUCUUGGGUUUUCGCCAUCCUUAGUAGUUUCCUCGGCGAAAAUGGCUAAAGAGAUAUUACAAACCCAUGACCUUCAAUUUUGCAGCAGGCCAGCCUUGGUAGCACAACAAAAGUUAUCUUACAAUGGUCUUGAUUUAGCGUUUUCACCCUAUGAUGAAUAGUGGAGAGAGAUAAGAAAAAUUUGUGUCAUUCAUCUCUUUAACUCUAAUAGGGUACAAAAUUUUCGACCCAUUAGAGAAGAUGAAGUUUCAAGAAUGAUUGAAAAGAUUUCAAAAUCAGUUGGUGCUUCUAAUCCCGUAAACUUAAGUGAGGUAAUGAUGUCUCUUACCAGCACCAUUAUUUGUAGAAUUGGUUUUGGCAAGAGGUACGAUGAAGAUAAAGCAACAAGUGGAAGAAGUAGAUUCCAUGCCCUGCUUAAUGAAACUCAAGCCUUGUUUGUAAGCUUUUUUGUUACAGAUUAUUUUCCUUUCAUGGACUGGAUUGAUAACCUCAGAGGAAUGAUGAAACGCCUGCAAAAUAACUUCCAAGAACUCGAUGGAUUCUACCGGGAACUCAUCGACGAGCAUUUGGAUCCAAACAGAACUAAAUCAGAAUUGCCGCAACAGGAGGAUAUAAUUGAUAUUUUACUUCAAAUAAGAAAAGAUCGUGGAUUUAAAGCUGACUUGACUUUGGAUCACAUCAAAGCAGUGCUCAUGGUGAAUAAUUUUAUAAAUAGUUAUAUGUAGACCGGUGCUUAGGCACAGACUCAAAAUUUUGCGCAGAUACCCAAUUUUACAGUCUUGUAAAAUGUUUUAUAGUGCUGUCAAGUGCUCUCUGAUGUCCCCAUCUGAGCACGAUUAACUUAAUAUAGUUUUAUUUGCUUUAACUAAUCUUAUAUGUAUAUAUUUAUGUUCUUUUUUUUUUAAUUUGCUUUUUUAAGUAAUUUAAUAUGUAUAUAUGUAUGUUGUUUGUUUGGCAGAACG